AAACAUAUUCUCCUUCUUUCUUUCGAGUUGUUUGACCUAUUUUUAGUUCCAUCUAAGAACAAUGUACUCCAUCUGUCCCAUUUUAUGUGGCACUUUUCGGAUUUCGAGAUUCAAACAAGUCUAUCUUUGAUCGUAAAUUUUUUAAACAUUUUGAAUUAUCAAUUAUUGUGACUUGUAGUACUUUUUACGUAAUUUACAAGUAUAUAAAUUUCAUUUCAAAAAAAUUGCAGAUUUCAUGCGCAAAUUCUAGGUCAAACUUAAACUGUUUGACUCUCGAAAAACUAAAAGUGCCACAUAAAUUGGAACAAAGAGAGUAAGUAAUUGUUUUUACUUUAUAGUGACUCUUUGAUUUCAACUUUCAACUAGACAUGUUUAAGACCACAAUAUUAAAUAUUGAUAUGUUUGACUAUCAAAAGACUCAAAAAUCCUUUUUCACGCUCUAAACUCCGUAUCAAGUUAAAAUUAGACAAAUAAAUUAAAAUAGAGGAAUAUAAAUAUGUAUAUGUACCUAGAAUUAAAAAUAUGAGGGCCAUGUUGGAAGUAAAAAGGUACAAUAUCUUUAGCAGCUGCAAAGGGUCGAUUGUUUUCAUUUGGAGUAGUUAUCAUAGCAGUCAAUAAACCUCCUGUACUUGUUCCUCCAAUUACAUCAAAGUAAUCUGCAAGUCUUGCAUCUGCAUUAUUGUCCAUUUUCUGACUCGAAAAAAAAAGUAAGUCGUAUAAAUAAUAAUUCAGAAAUAACUCACUUAUUAAUCAGAUAUUACAUUUAUAUAUUAAAAAAAUUUAGUAGAUAAGUUGUAACAUAAGAAAACCAUGAUUUAUUUGAAUAAUAAUUAGCUUUAUCAUGACCCUAUCGAUAAUAGAAGUACUAUUACUAAUCAUUAUCACUAAUAAGCAUCGAAAAAAAUACAAUUCAAGCGUAAAAAAAGAAAAAAAACGAUAGUAAUGUCACACUUACAUACAUACACGAAAAAAUAUUUUUACGAUAUCUGAAGUUGUCCUUCAAGAAAAUCAAGAAUGAUACCCGGAAUGACUAUAAUAAUGUCACACUUACAUACAUAUAUUAAAAAAUAUUUUUACGAUACCUGAAGUUGUCCUUCAAGAAAUUCGAGAAUGAUACCCGGAAUGAUUCCCUUAAUUCCACCUCCAUCAAUACUAAGAACAGUCACCAUUUCUCCCAACGUAGCAAAUGUUGAACUAGUAGUUGCUAAUAUCAUAAAAAUUAAAACUAAAACAGAUUUAGUAGUUGCCAUUUUGCAAAUGUUCAAAGUGUUUUUAAAUUUUGUUGGUGCUUUGAGCAUAAUAACAAGCAUGGUAUAUAUAGGCACGUAAACAAGUUGAGAAAUUUUAUUUUGAGUUUGACAUAACCAAUAAAAGUUAGUGCUGUUUAUUACCUCACUCAGUUUGCACCGCAACUGUCAUUAGUGAUGUUUACCUUUCCUUUUUCUAUUCUUUAUUAGUAUUAUAUAAUAUAUAUGUGUGAUGAGACUUGAAAUUGUUUAGCACCGCAAAUGUCCUUGUUGAGGGGGAGGUAUACGAAGAUUAUCCGUUCAAACAAUUUAGGCUCUAAUAUCAGAUGUAAGAUUAAAUACAUUUUAAUACAUAAUAUCAAGAUCUUGAACACGAUAAUCUUACAUAGAGAUCGUUAGGGGCACAUACCUGAUGAGGAAGACAUCAUCACAGAGAAAAGCGGAAGCGUUAGUCGUAAAUUGGUUUCUACCUCCUUUCCCUAACUUUAUGUUACCACAACCGUCAGCGAUGGAAUUAUUGUAGAGAAUAUGUGGUAACCCUAAUGGGUGGAGGGAGGACCAAUUUAUAUAGGUUAUGACUUAAUCCGGUACGUCCAUCAAGUAACCAAUGUACGGACGAGAUCUAUUCCUUAUUAAAUAUUAUUUAUGGUAUUACUUGGGUUACAAGUAAACUUGGGCCAUAAGUAAGAAAUAAUUAAUAAUAAUUCUUACAUUUUUAUCUUAAGUUAUGAUGUCACAUACAUCCCCUCUAUGGACCCAAUGUCCUUGUUGAGAGGAGGUUUUCUUUUGUUGAGGUUGGGGUGUCACAUACACCCUCUAUGGACUCAACGUCCUUGUUGAGGUUUAUCUCACACUGCAUGAGAUUUUUCUAGACUCAGCACUAUGAUUUCCCCGCCUUAUCAGAAUUGCCUAAACUCAGUUGAAGUCAGAGCCAUAUUGAUAAAACUGGCACAUGAUCGACUCUGAUAUUAAGCAAAUUCUCUCCCUCGCACCUCACUCACUUUCCUUUUUCUAUUCUUUAUUAGUAUUAUAUAGAGCAACUUUCACAUAUAACAAACAAAAAAUACAUAUUUGUAUGCUAUAGCAAAGUUUGCAUAAUUGUGUUCCAUAGCAAACAUAUAUAUGUAUAAUUCGCUAUACAUAUACAAUUGAAAGCUAUGUCUAUUUCGCUAUACAUAUAUACAAAAGAAGCAAUUGUAUAAUUCGUUGGCUCCUCUUCAGAUUUGUAUAAUUUUGCUGGCAGGCCAUUUGUAUAAAUUGUUGUUAGCCUCUCGUUGGCAAGGGAAUAUUUUUUAUUGUAUAAUUAUAAGUGUAUAGGAUGAAUAUAUAUGUAUUUGCAUGUGUAUAUACAAUUUUCUCUCGCUUUAUACAAACAGAAACGCAAUUUAUACAAUUCUGUUGUAUAAAACGAGAAAGAGAGAAAGACAAAAGAGAUAUGGGUAGGGGAAUAUUUUUAUUGUAUAAUUAUAAGUGUAUAGGCCGAAUAUAUAUGUAUUUGCAUGUGUAUAUACAAUUUUCUCUCGCUUUAUACAAACAGAAACGCAAUUUAUACAAUUCUGUUGUAUAAGCGAGAGAGGCGAGCACAGAGGGAGCGAGCGAGAGAGAGUUUGAGGGAGAGAGGCAACUGACAAACAGUUUGCUACAGGACACAAUUAAAUCAAAGAAUGGUUAUACCAUUUAAUUUGAAUUAAUAGUUUGUCAUUAUGUACAAUUUUCCCUAUUAUAUAAUAGAUCCGUUCCAACCGUUCUUUAUUUUUGUGGCUGACCCCAUAUGUGUGAUGAGAUUUGAAAUUGUUUAGCUCACCACCUCUUUAUUUUUAGAAGAAUAAAUAAAAUCCUCAUUCCGAUAUGAAAAACGAUCUUUGAGCCUGAUUUGACAAAUUAAGUUAACGAAGAAAUUUGAACUUUGUGAUUUUAAAUUAAAGAUAUAUUAAAAUAUUUUUUAAUCUUAUGAUAUUAAACACGUCAGAAUUGAUAAGAAGAGAGAUUUUCUUUUUAAUGAACUAACAUGACAAAUAAAACAAACAAAGGAGUAAUGAUCACUACAACAAAUUAGAUUACGAGGGAUAAAUAAUUUCGUCAUCUAUAAAUCAUGUUUCGUCACUAAAAAAUUUUUGUGACGAAAAAAAUUUCGUCAAUCAAUCGUCACUAAACAUGUGUCACUCAAAAUAUACAAAGACGAUUUAGUGCUUCGUCGCUAAAACUAAUAUAUUAACUACAAAAAGAAAAAUCGUCCCCAAAUGCAUAAACAUUUGUGACGAAUUUAUUAUUUGUCAUAAAAAGUGUAACUUUAUUUGUAGUUAAUAGUAUGUUUUUGUCACGCCCCGAGCUACCCCCAAGACGCGGACACNNNNNNNNNNNNNNNNNNNNNNNNNNNNNNNNNNNNNNNNNNNNNNNNNNNNNNNNNNNNNNNNNNNNNNNNNNNNNNNNNNNNNNNNNNNNNNNNNNNNUUUUAUUUUUAAAUUAUAUUUCAAAAUUGGAAAUUUUUAAAAUUCAAAUAGAAAAAACAAUUUUCGUGGAAACCAACCAAUAUGCAAUUCAAAUUCAUUCUUAUCCAAAUUAUAAUUUACCUUUUAUUUUUAAGUUGUAUCUUAAAGUAGGAAAUUUCAAAAUUUAAAUUUAAAACAAUUUUCGUGGAAACUUUAAAAAGAAUUAAAAAUUAAAAACAUGUACCCAUGAAUUCAAUUCAAAAUAGUAAGGAAGUUUUGGUUAAUUUAAAAGAAUUUUAAAUUAGAAUUUUAAAAUAGUAAGGAAGUUUCAAUUCGGUUGAAUAGGUAGUUUUUAUUUUUUAAAUGUAUUUCAAAAAUAGAUAAUUGAGUUGCUUAAAAUUUAAAACUUAAAAUAAAUUGCUUAUUAGUUAAUCAAAUCCUAUUCUUUAGCAACGUGAAAAUGUGGAUAGAAUUUGCCGACAUGUUUUUUUUUUAUAGAAAAAGUCAUAUUUCUUUUUUAAACUUAUUUUUAAAUACUUAAAUUUCAAGAUUAAUUGUGGUGCUGACACAUAUGCUGUUUUUCUUCUCCUUUUAUAUAUAGAUAGAAGAUUGUUAUGAGAUUUUGAAUUAUGAUAGAUUUUCUAUUUAGUUAUUUUUUGAUUAUUUAAAAUUUAAUUUUAUUCUAUUAAUAUCAAAAUAAGAUAGUAUAGAUUGAUUUGGGUGGGGGUGGGGGAGGGUUUGGGCAAGGGCGUGUGUGGUUUCCCCUUUUUUUUUUCUUUCUCUUCUUCUUUUGUUCUUUUUAUUUUUUAACAAAAUUAAUAUAAUGAAAAAUUAUGUUUUGAUUCAAUAAGAACACAAAAUAAAAAUAAAUUAAAAUAAUAUUUCUUCCCAUACAAAUUUUACACAUGUUACAUUAGUAUAAACAUGUUAGGAAUUAUGGACACCUAAAAUCUUUUUUUUUUUUUAGUUAUUAAAAUCAAAAGAAAAACCUACUAAUUAAAAUUAAUAUCUUACAUAAUAAAUAUUUGUUAUUAAUUAUUCUCAUCAUUUCAGUUUGUUAAGCCAUAAAUACAUGUGUCAUCGUAAGGGAAUCAAAAUAUAAAAGCAAGAAUAAACGUAGACAAUAGUUUUACUUAAACAUGAAAUAAAUCAUGGGUUGUUUAAACCUGAAAUAAAAUAAGGUUUGUUAUAACAAUUUCGCACCAAGUCUAAUGAUAUAAAAUAUCUAAACAUAAAGUUGAUAUGAAAGAUUUGGAACAUUUUUCAUAUUAUAACAUCAACGAAUAUUAAUGGUUUAAACACAUAUAAAAUUUAACAAUUUCAAUAUAUUGUAACCAAUGCUUGUAUAAUCGUGAUAUUAAACUAUAUAAAAAGGAUUAAGUGUUACCUCUUGUGAAAAUUAAUUCACAAAGAAAAGACCACAACUGAAACCACAAACUAAAAACCACGAAUAAAAAUCCCGAACUUAACUUUUCUUUUAUCGCUGAACGAUUUUGUUUUUUUUGUUAGUAUUGUUGGAAGGAAAGAGUGUUUGGCAUGUGUUUUGGAAUUUGGGUGCGUGAGUUUCUGUAUGGUUUUUUGAUUGUUUUUAAUCUUUCUAUAAUUGUGUUUUGUGCAUGUGUCGUGUGUGUGUAGUGUGAGGGGGUAAUGGGAGAAGUGGGGUGAGAUGUGGGUGAGUGGGGUAGUGUAGGAUAGUAUUAGCUUCUUUUUAUAUAUAUGUUUUUUUAUUAAUAUAAUAUAAUAUACAAAAAAAACAUUUAGUAUCAGUGGGUCCCAUAUGUUCUAUUGUUGAUGAACAAUGUUUCUAUUGUUGGUGUCGGGUUAUGAUGGUUCUACUGUAGAGGCGGCUUCACUGUUUAUCUUUUUCUUUUAAUUUGUGGAGGAAAUCUUUCAUUUUUUUCAAAGUAUCUUCUGAUAUAGUCUGGACGAUCCCUGGGAUGAUCUUCCCCUUGUAUUUUUACUUUUACCUCUGCCCUUGAUAAUCCAAGGAGGGUCCAUCCUGCACACAUAACAUUUUACUUUAUUCGGAUAUAUCGUAAUAAUCACUGUAAUAAUUAUCACUAUCGAUAUCCUUGGGGGUAUCCUAUUCAUAAUCAUAUAUAGAGAAAUCUUCUCUAAUAAAAUCAUUAAUAAUUUUACUUAUUAUAAAUUCAUGCAAGUGUCCACUGUGGCAUAUGAUCCUGUAUAUUUUAAUACUCAGCCUAAUUUGCCAUUAUCUUUAACUGAUGUUAAUAUUCUUGAUGCUUUAACAUUAAAUGUUAAAACACAUGGUUAUAAUUAUGCGCCUGGAUCUGAAUUAAUAUGUUUAUCAUAUAGAAUUAAUUUUAAAUUGCUAUCUACGUGACAGGCCCCUUGCUCGGAUAAAAGGAUAGAUCCUUCCAUACAAUCAUAAAACUAUAUACAUUUGUAUAUAUUUCUAUUUGGAUUUAUAAUAUAAUAUAAUAUAAUGAUAAGAAUAUUAUUUAAAUAUUUUUAAACUAACAAGAAUUAAGUAUCUAAUAAUAAAUUAUAAUUAAGAAAUGCUAGUUUAUUUAUUAAAACUUAAAUAAAAAGAAACAUUUUUUUAUAAAUUUCUUUUCUUUAAAAUUAAUCUACAUUAAAGUGUGACUCUAUUUUUUUGUCAUUUUCAAAUAUUUUUAAAUAAGUUUACUAAAGUAAGAUACAUCCAUACAUAUUUAAUUUAAAUUUUUAAAAAUAUUCAAGUACUUAAAAUGAUAUAAAACUUUAAAUUCGGUCAAAAUUUACAUGUCUACAUCUUUGACAAAAGAUAAAUGUAAUAUUAGUUAUAAAUACCUAUAAAAAUAAAUCAAUAAUCUAUAAUAAUAAUAAUAAUAAUAAUAAAAAACAAAAUCAAUCAAGAAAUUAUAUAUACCUUGACGAUUUGGUAAAACCUCUUCAUAUAUUUUGAUUUUACAUCGUACUUGUUUAUUUUUCAAAUAUUUAUUUCGCAUUUAUGAAAUUAUUUGUAUACAUCAUCUCUUUAAAAUUGUAGAUUCGUUAUUUACAUAUGAAACAAAAAUUAAAUAUAAAAUCAAUUGUGAAUAACUAAUAACAAUAACAAAACAAUAAUAACAAAUAAUAAUGAUAAUAAAAAUAAUAAAAGUUAUAAUAAGAAAUAGUCAUAACAAAUAAUUAUAACAACUAAUAAUAACAAAAAAAAAAUAAAAAAAAUAAUAACAAACAAUAAUAACAAACAAUAACAGUAAUAAUGUCAAUACUAACAAUAAUGAUGAUGAUGAUAAUAAUAAUGAUGAUGAUAAUAUAAUACAAUAACAAAUAAUACUAACAAAUAAUAAUAACAACAACAACAACAACAACAACAAUAAAUAUAAAUAAUAAAAACAACAACAACAAAUAGUCGAACCAAAUAAUAACAACAACAAUAACAGUUGUAGUAAUAAUAAUAAUAAUAAUGGUAAUAAUAAUUAAAAAAAAAACCUAGAAAUAGCUGAACCAAAUAAUAAUAAAAUAUAAAAAACUAAAAUUAGUUGAACCAAAUCAAUAUCAAAUGGCAUUAUAUUUAUCACGAAUUGAAAAAGUAAAACAUCAAGAUUUUCAAAGUUCUUAAUAUGCUUGGUAGAACCUUGCUAAAGCUUUUGUUUUGUUUCAAAACAUUUGAUUUUAUAAGAAGACGUCUAAAAUAAUUUAUUAAGAGCAAUUUAUUUUCUACUGUUAAAAAUAAAACAAUGUAUAUUUGAAAAGAUAGGAUUUCAAUAUCAUAUUAUUCAGUUCAAUUAUGAAAUUAAAAAAUUAUUUAGUACAAUUAUAAAUUUAUAUAAAAUUAAAUUUUCGAUUUUACUAUAAGAAAUCUAAUACUUGGUUUGAUUCGAUGAGUUAAUCAAUGUUUUUUAAAAACAUUGACACUCACAACUAUCGUACUUUAUCAUAAUAUAUUCAAAAUCUUAGUUGGUUAAUUUCUUUCAUUUGUGCUUUCAUUUUUUUAGUUUAUUUCAAUUUUCACACGGAUGAAUAAGGUGAAUAGAAUCCAUGAAAUAUUUCACAUCUUUGCAAAGUCUAAGUCGAUAGUAUCUCUAUAUAAUUGCUCUACGUACGUGGAAUCACUACUAAUUAUGUAUGUAUUUUUAGACAGAAGCAAAUCAAUCGACUUAGUCUAUAUUGUUUACCCACCACAAAAUCGAUAGGCACGCACAAAAAUAAGCGUCAAGGUUUGAGAAAUUAUUUCUUCUAUACUCUUUAUCGAUGAAAGCGUAUAAAAUAAAAAAUGAAAUGUCUUAAGCCAACAAAUAUUUAUGAUGUAGUGGUAGAAUACUACCCACUCACGGUACUUAUAAUCUAGAUUGUGUUUUUCAAAUGAUGCAUUUUAUAAUUGCGUAAUUUAGGAAAAUUGAUGAAUUGAAUAUUUUUAUUUUUACAAAAUCCGAUAAUUGUAUUGUUAAGGGACUAUUUUAGACCUACUUCAAUAGUUCAGGGACCAUUUAUGAAGUUCUCUAAUUAUGAACAAUCAUAGCCAAAGAAAAUUUUGUAUAUAGCUAUGAAUUUUUUCGUACCAAAUAGUUGAAUUAUUCAACUACAAAUUCUAAGUUGUCGCUAUUUAACACUUACAUAUUUUCUGACAUUUUUUUGUUGUCACUAAAUAAUAGGUUGAUUAGAGACAAUAAAAUUAUUGUCACCAAUUGUUCAUAUUAUUAGUGACGAAAAUAAAUGUCACAAUUAAAUCUAAAUUUUUAUAGCUAAAACUUAUAAUAUUUAACUACAAACUCUUAUUUGUCGCUAUUGUAACAACACAUUUUUCGAGAUGAAAUUAUUUUGUGUCCAAAAAUAAAUUAAUUUUAAGACAAAAAUAAUUUGUUACGAAUUAGAUUACAUCAUUUGUGACGAAAUAAUGUGUCACUGGUAACUUUAAAUUCGUGACUGACAGUACUCAAUAAAUGGCAUCAAUUUAUUUUUUGGUGGGAAAUUUUAGUGGACAAAACUUUGCCACAAACUUUUAUGUUUCGUCACUAAAAGUAUAUGUCUCAUAUAUUUAAGCACGAAAAAUAAUUUUUGUCGCUAAAAGUAAAUAAUUAGUGAUGAAUUUUAUGUCGUAGCUAAUAAUUUCGUAGCUAUAUAUCAUAUUUGUUAUAGUGAAUGAUAACAAGAAAAGUGGCAAUGACCCAGAUAUAUAUAUGGAUCGAUUAUCAUAUGACAAUGAAUUAUGGACAGAGAUAUGGAGAAAUUGGAAAUAAAGUCAAAAUCGUCGUUGGCCAAGGACUUAGAAACCUUGUAAAUUGUAAUUUGACCCUUCCACACCUAACACUAUUAUUUCCACAUAUAUAUUUGGUGCCCCAUGGAGUUACUCCCAUCUCCACGUUUUGGGUACGUCUCCAUCUCACUAGAGUGUGAUUUCGGCUUCUUGUGCAUGCACUAAAGGUUGUUUGAUAGUUGAAUUAGAAGUGAGUUAUACAUGUAUUAUAUUCUGCAUAAAUAAUAACACGUUUGAUAAUUGGUUAGGAGUUUAGUUUUUCAUAAUAAAACUAAUAAAAUAAAUAAUUGAUCCCUACCUAAAAUAAUACACAAGUUCUCUCAUUACUAAUACUUGCAUGCUCUAACCUGCAAAGUGUGGUAGGACACACCCAGGUAAGUGUCACGAUGGCUCCACAGGUUGUUUCAAGUGUGGACAAGAGGGUCACUUCAUGAAAGAGUGCCCUAAGAACCGGCAAGGUAAUGGGAAUCAGGGCAAUAGGGCCCAAUUUUCAUCAGUUGCUCCACCAGACAGGGCUGCACCUAGAGGAGCUACUUCCGGUACUAGCGAAGGAGCAAACAACCUUUAUGUGAUUACUAGUCGUCAAGAGCAAGAGAAUUUUCCAGAUGUUUUCACUGGUAUGAUCAAAGUCUUUACUCUUGAUGUUUAUGCUUUGCUAGACCCAGGAGCAAGUUUAUCUUUUGUGACUCCUUAUGUUGCAAUGAAUUUUGAUGUCCUUCCUGAGAAACAUUAUGAACCCUUUUGUGUUUCUACAUCGGUUGGGGAGUCCAUUCUAGCUGAGCGAGAAUAUCGUGAUUGUGUCAUUUUCAUCAAUCACAAGAACACCAUGACUGAUUUAGUUGAGUUAGACAUGAUAGAUUUUGAUGUCAUUCAAGAUAUGGAUUGACUUCAUGCCUGUUAUGCCUCCAUUGAUUGUAGAACUCGAGUUGUUAGGUUUCAAAUUCCUAAUGAGCCAGUUAUAGAGUGGAGUAGCAGUUCAACAAUGCCUAAGGGUCGUUUCGUACCUUAAGGCGAGAAAGUUAGUUUUCAAGGGGUGUGUCUAUCACUUAGUCCGAGUUAAUGAUUUUAGUGUUGAGACACCUCCUAUUGAGUUAGUUUCAGUUGUGAAUGAGUUUCCAGAAAUAUUUCUAGAUGAUCUACUCGGAGUCCCUCCUGAGAGAGAAAUAGACUUCAGUAUAGAUAUUCUUCCCGAUACUCGUCCUAUAUCUAUUCUGCCAUAUAGAAUAGCACCAACAGAGUUGAAAGAGCUAACAAAGUUGUUGAAAGAUCUCCUAGAUAAAUAUUUCAUUCGACCAAGUGUCUCACCAUGGGGCGCUCCGGUCUUAUUUGUGAGGAAGAAGGAUGGUUCCCUUAGAAUAUGUAUAGAUUAUCACCAGUUGAACAAGGUUACCAUCAAGAAUAAGUAUCCUCUUCCCAGAAUUGAUGAUCUUUUUGAUCAGCUUUAGGGUGCCACCUGUUUCUUUAAGAUAGACCUCAGAUCAGGCUACCAUCAGUUGAGGGUAAGGGAAUGCGACAUUCCAAAGACGGCAUUCAGGACCCGUUAUGAUCAUUAUGAGUUUCUAGUUAUGUCAUUUGGUUUGACCAAUGCGCCUGCAACAUUCAUGGACCUUAAGAAUAGAGUAUUCAAGUCUUAGUUAGAUAUGUUUGAUAUCGUGUUCAUUGAUGGCAUUCUAAUCUAUUCAAGGAAUGAGGAAGAUCAUGCUAGCCAUCUCAGAAUAGUUCUCCAAACUCUAAAGGAUAAGGAGUUAUAUGCUAAGUUCUCUAAAUGUGAGUUUUGGCUUAAGUCUGUGGCAUUCUUAGGCCAUAUUAUUUCUGGUGAUGGGAUUAGAGUUGAUGUCAAAGCUUGAGAUGACAACUUCUGUCAAAGCUUGAUGCAAACGAGUUUCCCCAAUUUUUUCUUGAAGAACUUGCAUAAGAUAUUUUCCAUCAUAUAUUGGGCCUGAAUUUUGGCCACUGCAUAAUAUAAUGUAACCAAAUUAAAUAUAAGUAUAUAGAACAGAAGUAUCAUAUAUUUGGGCUAGGUACAUCCUAUCUCAGAAGUUUAUUCAAUUAUGUACAAAAACACUGAAUAUUUCAUUGCUCUCAGAUAUAUCCUUUGGCUAUCUGAUACAUUGCAAAUGAUACAUUACUUAAUGAGAGAGAUGUAUCUGAGAGGGGAUAGAUAUGUAUCUGAGAAGAGAUUUUGGUAAUUUAUUUUUAAUGGUAGGAAACUUUAGAGAUUAUAAUAGGGCAAAAAACUUAAAUAUGCAAUUUAAGUACCUUAAUUACUACUAUAUAGCAAUAAUUUUUUUCCCGCCUAUAUAGCAAUAGUUUUUUUUCAAAACUAGAAUUUAGUAUUAAAAAAAAAGAAGCGUAGAAUUAGUCAGCCACGAUUUUCUUAGAAUCCCUGAUUUUCUCCAAUUUUUUUACCUUCCACGAUUUACUCAGAUUUGUUAUAUAUUCCCUCCCAUAAAAAAAAGUUUUUUUAACAAAAAUAAAAGUCUUUUUCUACUCCCUUCUGAUCGACAGUUCAAACAUACCAACAAUUUUUCAAUUCUAAUUCAACACAAUGGACGAUGGGACACAUAAGAUAUUUGUAAUAAAUCACAUUGAAUUAGUGUUUUUUUACGUGAUUAUUUUAUUUAAUAUAUUUGAAUUUUUUUUCAUGAUCGUUAUCUUAUAAUCUACUAUGUUGGGUAUAUGUUUUUUUGUUAAAUCUGAAUUAAGGUCGUUUAUCAAUCACUUUUAUAUAUUGAAUUUGGGUAUAUUGAGUGGUGUGUUAUUUUUUGGUAUUUAUUCGUUGCUUUAAUUUGUAGGGUUUUGUUGUUUAGUAUAAAAUUCAUAUUGAGUGAUUCUGCUUUGGGUAAUGGUUUGGUGAAACGAUGAUUUUGUGGUUUAGUAUAAAAUAAAUUUUAUUAAUAUUUUUAGUAGAUUAUUAGGUGUAAUUGAUAGUGUACAUGGUGUGAUGAUUUGGUGUAAUUGUUAUUAUGUAUUAUGUUUUUAUAAACACCAUAAGUCAUAAUUUUUUUGGUGCGAGUGUUAUCUAUUAGGUCACAUAGAAAAAUAAGCUUUGAUGAUAAAUAUUGGGUAAAUAAUUUGGUGUUAAUGAUGGUAUACAGUUAAGUACAUAAAAUAUAAGCAAUGAUCCUGAGAAAAUGAAUUCUAUAAACAGAUUGUUUAUGUAUAGUAUUUAAGAAGGCAAACUUGAAAAAAAAAACACCAAACAUGUAUCUACUAGGCUUUAUGUGACAUGCUAUCAUAUCAACACAUAGAUUGUAGUUUUGAAAUCAAUACAUUUGUGUCUUAUAGAAAGUAAAUCAUACCUCAUUUGAGCGGUUAGACUUCCACAUACUAAUUAUCUAAACAUUGAAAAACGUGUAAUACCCAAACAAAUGAUCUAUGAGGCACAUGACAUAUAAAUAGGUGAUUUACAACAUCUACACUAUAUAAGCAAUUAAUCUUUAUUAGUGGGAGUACAUUCUUUCACGCAUAUGUAUGUAACAUGUGAUCUGGUAAGUAGUAUCCUAUGAAGCAUGAACUUUAAGUCUACAAAAUAUAAGCUUCUUUAGAGAACUCACGACAUGUAAGAAAUUAAUCUGCUAUAGUGUGUUUCUCAUGGAUAACCUAUUUAUAGUAUAACAUCAUAAAAUAAAUAAUCUACAAAAUAGGAAAAAUGGAAUAUAACUAGAAGCUUAUGAACCAAGCAACAAGUAAAAGUUAACAUGUAUGACAUGUAACACACAUAAUCCUAUAAACAAGUAAACCAUAAAAGAUUCACAUAUGAACUCAUAACCUAAUUCACUAAAUAGUUAAUUGGAACAUAUACAUAAUUCCUUUAGACCUUUAGAAGAGUCGUACCCUAACUAAAAACUUCAGUUUACACGUACAUAUAAUUCAACUCAUUCAGAUAACAUCCUUAUUUAUCUCAAAACUAACCACUUGAUUCCCUAUGACAAUUAACUAAUGAUAUACCCUCUGUUAAUCUGAUUAUUUAACUUAUAUCUAUCUAAAUGUCUCAUAGCCUCCUGAUUAUAAGUGUGGUGCACAACACACUCAUAAGCAAGACUCUACCUGACACGAUUGACAUCAUAGUAAACAACUAUGCAUGAUAUGCUCGUGUAAUCAUAUGUUGUGAAUACAUAUAUAGAUGCAAAUGCAUGACAUACCCAACCAAUUGCUAGCAAUGAUGGUGCUUUCCGGUAGCUAACCGGCAUCAUAUUCGCCAAUUUGUGGCCAUCGUGUCUCAUAUGUAUAAAUAUAGACAAUAGGCGUCAUACCUCUCGAUUAUAGCUCGGGAGUAGAAUGCAUAGCAUGUCAUGUCAUGGAUUUAUAAUGCAUAUAUCUCUUACCGUUGUCAUGUUGCCAAUCUUGGCCCACUGGUACUCUUGUUCUCAUAAUCCCAUAAUCAAUUUCGUAUAAGAUAUUAACGACUCAUAGAACCUCAUAGGCUUUUACAAUAACCUUGAAUACUUAACUUGACUUUAGAAAGAUAACUUAAACCUGAGAAUAUUCAAAAAGAGUUUAAGGUGCUUAAAGAGUUUCAUUGUAACUUCAGUCAACUUUUGUACGACCAUUUAGGUCUAUAGACUCAUAAUAGACUCGAAGCUCUUGACUAGACUUCAACUUAGCAAAUUAAUCAUUUAGAAAUUCAAAAGGAGUCUGACAUGCCUGACCUUAUUUACUAUAGAAGGCUCCAAUUUGGUAAUGGAAUGAGCUUGCUUAGAAACAAGAUUGUUUGACAACUUAAUAUGUGAUGACCCGGAAGGUCAUUUUUGAAAAUUUUGAACUAUUCAUUUAACUUGAGUUAAUUAAUAUAUAGUUAGUGGGCUAAAGUGAUCAUUUAUUUAAGACCCUAUACCAUUAGGGCUAUGUGUUAAAAAUAGGUUAGUGGGAGUUAUUACGAGUGGGUAUUGAAUGCAUUGGAUCUUCUACAAUAUUGUUGGUUUUCAAAUUGAUGGGCAAAUAUUUAUGGGUUACUGUUGACAAAUUUUAGUGGAAGUAACCAAUAGUUAUUAUUAUUAUAUUAGUAUAAUGGUUGUAUUAGAUUGAAGGGGGCAGUGGUGAAUUCUUGGCGGUUUAGAAAUUUAGGGUACAAGAAACGGUGCUAAUAUUAUUGUUAUUAUUAUUAUAUUUCUUUUUGUUUGUUGUCAAUUUAUGGGGAUGAAGGGAGUUGAAUUGUUAGGACUAUAUAUAUAUAUAUAAUUAUUUUCCAUACAUGCUAUCUCCAGUUUCAAGUAGUAAGUUGAAUGCUCACUAAAGGAGUUAGAUUAUUACUCUAUAUAUGUUAAGGCCUAAUUGAUUUCUUGGGGAAAGAAUAAUGUCAUUGUUGUACACUUGGUGGGUUUUGAAAAUUGUGAGGAUAAAGUUAUGAUUACAUAUUAUAAAUUUAGGAACCUGCAGGCGACAUAUUAAUGUCUUGAUUUUAUCGAUUCCCACCACUGGUUUCAUAACCAGUGGUUUCGAAAAUUAGUAAUUCUUAUGUUAUUAUCACAUUGUAUUUUAAUUUUGAUAUAUUAAAAUAGGUAAUUAAAUAUUAGGUAUAUCGUAUUUUUGUGAAUGUCAUUAGAUUUACGAUAAUUGAAGGAAUUGGAAGAAUUGACAAGUUAAUGGGCAUCAAGACUUGGGAACUUAAUUAUAAAUUUGGGGUAAGCUUAGUGUUGUUAGUUUCGGAAUCUUAUUGUGACUAUAUACUUGAAUAGAUUGCAUUGAUUUGGAAGCUCAACGAAAAGGGAAGGCUCAAGUCUCGGAGUGAUUGUUCGGUUAUUUGAGGCAAGUGGAUUUCUAAACCCUUGUUAAGCGUAUGGAAUUNNNNNNNNNNNAUGAUUGUGUUGUUGUGAUUUGUGCAAUGUUAUGAAAAUGGUCAUCUCCUCAUUAUUUGUGUGAACAUGUCAUUUGCACUGUUCUGAGACAUAGUUGUGAUAAGUGUUGUGUGCAUUGAGAAAUAAUAAGAAACUAAAGAGUAUGUACCAUUUCGAGGGACGUAUCGCGCGCCGCGAUGGAUACUAUAUUUCGAGGGACGUGUCACGUGUCGCGUGCCGCGACGGAUAUUAUAUUUCGAGGGACGUAUCGUGCGCCGCGAUGGAUGCAUGGACAGAUAUGUCCCCCAUGGGUCCCGGACUGAGAGACAGCGGGUGUGUAUUAUUAGGUCAGAUAUGCGUCAGUAUACUUGACAUUGCAUUUCAUUGCAUUGCACAUUUUUAUAUUGAUCAACUUGAUCUUGUGCGUUGCUGAUCUUGUGAGUGCCUUUCUGUGAACUUGUUAUUGAUGAAUAUUGAGUUGUUAUUGAGAAUAUAUAAUCUGUUAGAGUGUUGUUGUUGAGCUUUAUGCUUUGUAAACUGUGAAUUGUUAGGUUGGGUCUGGUUUUAUGCAGGUUGUAGUUAUGGAGGUUAGGAUGGGGUGGUAAGGAGUACCCGUAUUCUGUUCCCUUAGCUUGUGUUUAGAGGUUUGCUUGUUGAGUACCGUGUGGUUUGGUACUCACCCCUUGCUUCUACAAUCUUUUGUAGGUUACGAGCCCGGAUCUUCGUGAUACCUUCCAUUCUCUUCGUUUCCGAGGUUUUUUGUGGAGAUCUGAGAGGUAGUUGUUUGUCAUCUCAGCGAACCUUCUUACUCCUGUUUAUGAUUUUGUUUUUACUUGAAAGACAACGUCAUUUGAGACUUGCGUAUUUUUAUUUCAAUUCUAGUAUUUACAUUAGAGGCUUGUGCCCGUGACAACCAGGUUUUGGGGAUUGAAUUAAGUUGACUUGUUUUCGUAAUAGUAAUUGUUAUUGAACUUUGCUUUAUUUCCGCACUUUAUCAAAAUGAUUAGGUUUUAGUCUGACUUGUCUUGGUGGGAUACGACGAGUGCCAUCACAUCCAUUUUUGGGUCGUGAGAAAAUGGUAUCAAAGCCCCAGGUUCAUAGGUCUCACGUGCAUACAAGCCGAGUCUACAUAGAGUCUCAAGGAUCGGUAUGGAGACGUCUGUACUUAUCUUUGAGAGGCUAUAAAGACUAUUAGGAAACUUCCUUUUUGUUCAUUCUUUCUCAUCGUGCGUGGUUACCUUCUUUAGUACUGAGCUAUUGUAUACUCUUUUGACAAAUGACGAGGACUAGAGCGAGUAACUGUUACUGGUGGUAGAGGGGAGGCACUUCUCGAGGUAGUUGUUGAGGCCCCAGCUAGGGGUAGAGCCCGAGCUAGAGGUCGUGCUCGUGAACGACACUAGCCAGAGGUCGUGGCCGUGGAGCAGCACCAGUGAGAGGUCGUACUAGAGAGGCCUCUCCUGAGCCUCAGAUUGAUGACAGAGAGGACCAGGUUCCUCCAGAGCCUGCAGUCACACCUUUGCUUCAGGAUACAUUAUUAAGGGUGUUUAGUGUCCUUGAGAGCUUUACUUAGGGUGGUGGUGCGACCGCCACACCACAAGACUCUCAGACUAGAGAGGGGGCUCAGACCCAAGAGCAGCAAGAAGCUCCAGUUAUGCAGGAUGCGGUGGGGCAGCCACCAAAGGAUCCCAUGGUUGAGAAUGAUCUUGCACCAGCAAUUGGGGGUCAGGGUGCACCAUUGGUUGUUCUGACAGAGGAUGAGCAGCGUAGGUAUGAGAAAUUUUGAAAGAUGGACCCACAUCAGUUUCAGGGUGGGAAGAGUGAGGACGCUCAUGAGUUUCUGACUACAUGCCGAGAGUUGUUAGAGGUUGUUGGAUUAGCUGAGUCACAUGGGGUUCGAUAUGUUACACUCCAACUUCGUGGGCCAGCGAGAGAGUGGUGAAGAACUUAUUCGGGGGCUUUGCCAGUUAGAUCUCCUCCAGUGACUUGGGAGAGGUUUUCCAGUGCCUUUCAUGAUCGUUUUAUCCCUUGGAGCGUGAGAGAGGAGANNNNNNNNNNNNNNNNNNNNNNNNNNNNNNNNNNNNNNNNNNNNNNNNNNNNNNNNNNNNNNNNNNNNNNNNNNNNNNNNNNNNNNNNNNNNNNNNNNNNNNNNNNNNNNNNNNNNNNNNNNNNNNNNNNNNNNNNNNNNNNNNNNNNNNNNNNNNNNNNNNNNNNNNNNNNNNNNNNNNNNNNNNNNNNNNNNNNNNNNNNNNNNNNNNNNNNNNNNNNNNNNNNNNNNNNNNNNNNNNNNNNNNNNNNNNNNNNNNNNNNNNNNNNNNNNNNNNNNNNNNNNNNNNNNNNNNNNNNNNNNNNNNNNNNNNNNNNNNNNNNNNNNNNNNNNNNNNNNNNNNNNNNNNNNNNNNNNNNNNNNNNNNNNNNNNNNNNNNNNNNNNNNNNNNNNNNNNNNNNNNNNNNNNNNNNNNNNNNNNNNNNNNNNNNNNNNNNNNNNNNNNNNNNNNNNNNNNNNNNNNNNNNNNNNNNNNNNNNNNNNNNNNNNNNNNNNNNNNNNNNNNNNNNNNNNNNNNNNNNNNNNNNNNNNNNNNNNNNNNNNNNNNNNNNNNNNNNNNNNNNNNNNNNNNNNNNNNNNNNNNNNNNNNNNNNNNNNNNNNNNNNNCUUCGUGGGCCAGCGAGAGAGUGGUGGAGAACUUAUUCGGGGGCUUUGCCAGUUGGAUCUCCUCCAGUGACUUGGGAGAGGUUUUCCAGUGCCUUCCAUGACCGUUUUAUCCCUUGGAGAGUGAGAGAGGAGAGUCGUUUGAGGUUUGAAAAUUUGAGACAGGACAACUUAUCAGUUACAGAGUAUGAGGCCCGUUUUUGCCAGUUGUCUAGGCAUGCUUUGGCCAUUAUUCCAGACGAGACGGAAAUGAUCUGUAGAUUCGUGAGGGGGAUGACUUUCUCCAUUAGAUCGGCUGUGUUUAGAGCAUCUAAAGAGGGGGCUUCCUUCUAGUCCAUUGUGAGCGCCGCUAAAGAGGCAGAAUUGAUGGAGAGAGAAGAGUUUGGGGGACCCUAAGAGGGUCCGUACUGCAGGUCAGUUUCAUGGUGCCUCAUCUGGAGGCAGGGGAUCACACAAAAGGGAGUUGUUCCUUUUAACAGUGAGGACCCGUUCAUGCAUCUAUGCCAACAUCCGAGGGUGGUCAGAUACCUUAGGGUUUUUAUAGCGUGGGUCACGGUUCACAACAGCGACCUAUGGGGCGAGGCAAUUAUAGUGGGUUUUAAGGGUCCGCACAACAGUUCCCGAGACAGAUUUUUGCUUUUCUUGUGGAGAUCCCGAUCACCUGAUGUGACAGUGUACUUCCCAGAGGGGUCGUGGAGGGUCCCAACCUAAUUCUUCAUUUCAGGCUAGACCACCGGUACCACAGGGUAGAUGCCGAGGCAGAGUUCAGUCAGGUAGAGGCGGUAAAGCUUCUAGUAGUGGUUCUGCAGCUCAGCAGAGUGGGGGUAGAGUUACCACCCAGGCUGGAGGUGGCCGAGGGGGCCACUAUUAUGCUUUCUCGGGGAGAUCCGAAGUGGAGAUUUCUGAUGUUGUUAUUACAGGUAUCAUCCCAGUAUACCAUCGAUCUGCUUCUGUAUUGUUUGAUCCAGGGUCUACAUUCUCUUAUGUGUCCACCUAUUUUGCUGCUGAAUUUGAUAUGAUAUGUGAUAGCAUGACUGUACCUAUUCGUGUUUCUACACCCGUGGGUGAGCCCUUAGUGGUGGAUCGAGUGUGCGAUCUUGUCUUGUUUCUCUAGUGGGGUAUGACACUUGGGUAGAUUUAAUCAUUCUGGGGAUGGUAGACUUUGAUGUUAUCUUGGGUAUGAAUUGACUUUCUUCUUAUCAUGCUGUCCUUGAUUGUAAUGCUAAGAUUGUGACUUUAGCAAUGCCUGGUGUUCCGAGGGUUGAGUGGAAGGGUGCUAAUGGCUCUUAUCCUAGUAAGGUCAUUUCCUUUAUCCGUGCUCAGAGAUUGGUGGAGAGAGGGUGUUUGUCUUACUUAGCUUUUUUUCGAGACACUAGUGUUGAACCACAUUCCAUGGAUUCUGUUCCCGUGGUUCAGGAGUUUCUCGAUGUAUUCCCUUCUGAUCUUCCAGGUGUUCCUCAAUAGGGAUAUUGAUUUUACUAUUGAUUUGGAGCCGGGCACUAAGCCCAUUUCUAUUCCUCCCUACCAUAUGGCUCCAGCAGAGUUGAAAAAGUUGAAAGAUCAGUUGCAGGAUUUAUUGAGUAAGGGGUUUAUUCGCCCUAGUGUGUCACUUUGGGGUGCCCAUGUGUUAUUUGUGAAGAAGAAGGAUGGGACUAUGAGGAUGUGUAUUGAUUACAGACAGUUAAACAAGGUAACAGUGAAAAAUAAGUAUCCUCUUCCGCGUAUUGAUGACUUAUUUGAUCAGCUACAGGGGGCAUCUUUGUUCUCUAAGAUUGAUUUGAGGUCUGGGUAUCAUCAAUUGAAGAUUAGGGCAUCAGAUAUCCCUAAGACAACUUUUCGGACUCGGUAUGGGAUUUAUGAGUUCUUAGUGAUGUCCUUUGGGUUGACUAAUGCCCCUGCAGCUUUUAUGGAGUUGAUGAACGGGGUGUUUCGACCAUACAUUGAUUCUUUUGUGAUUGUCUUCAUCGAUGACAUUUUGGUUUACUCCAGGACUGAGGAUGACCAUGUCCGACACUUGAGAAUUGUACUUCAGAGAUUGAGGGAAGAGAUGUUGUAUGCCAACUUCUCAAAGUGUGAGUUCUGGCUUAAUUCUGUGGCAUUCUUGGGACACGUGGUGUCCAAGGAGGGUAUUAGACUAGAUCUGGCCAAGAUUGAGGCAGUUAGAGGCUGGACGUGCCCUACUUCUCCUACCGAGAUUAGGAGUUUUGUGGGAUUGACAGGUUAUUAUCGACGAUUUGUUCAGAGUUUCUCUACUAUUGCAGCUCCAUUGACUAGAUUGACUCGACAUGGUGUGGGUUUUCAGUGGUCUGAUGAGUGUGAGGAGAGUUUUCAAAAGCUCAAGACUUUGCUGACUUCGGCUCCUGUGUUGACUCUACUUGAGAAGGGCGUAGACUUUACUGUGUAUUGUGAUGCUUCAAGAGUCGGUUUGGGUGGUGUAUUGAUGCAGAAGGGGAAGGUGAUUGCUUAUGCUUCUAGGCAGUUGAAGACCCAUGAGAAGAACUACCCUACUAAUGAUUUAGAGUUGGCAGCUGUGGUAUUUGUACUUAAGUUAUGGCGUCAUUAUUUGUAUGGGGUGCAUUACGAGAUCUUCACGGAUCAUCGGAGUCUUCAGUAUAUCUUCAGCCAGAGGGAUCUGAACUUAAGGCAGCGUAGAUGACUUGAGUUACUGAAGGACUAUGAUGUGACCAUUCUAUAUCAUCCGGGGAAGGCCAAUGUUGUUGCCGAUGCUCUGAGUAAGAAGACUCCUUGAUAAGGGUUCCAAUUGGGGAUGAAACCAAUUGAAAUAAAAUGCGGAAUGAAACAACACAAAAGUAAGAUAGAUGAGAAAUAAGAGAUGAGAAGAGAAGAAAGAAAGGCAAUUGAAUAAACAAUCAACCAAGGAAGAAGAGAAACUUGAAUUCGAAAAGAAACAACUCAAAUUGAAAACCACAAAUGAGCAAUCUCAAGUGAAAUCAAGGUUAAAGAAGUCCUAAAUCAACAAUGAGAAUCCACCCAUCAUUAAUCUAGAUUAAGCUACACUAAGCUAGGCUAUCCUAAAGGGAUUACACCCUUAAACUAUACUCUUUAAAGAGUUUGUUCAUUUCACAUUGCAAAUCCAUAUAGUCUAAGUCUUCCAAAAUAAAAGAGACUACUAUUUAUACUAACAAAAUAAAAGACACUUAUUUGACAAUUUACCCUUAAUGAGGUAAGGGUCUUGUUUGGUUGACUUCUUUUGUGAAUUCUUGAAAACAAAAUAAAGAAGACACUUCUUUUACAAUUUUACCCUUAAUGAGGUAAGGGGCCUUGUUUGGUUGUCUUCUUUUGUGAAUUCUUGAAAUUAUGAGAUGACCAAUGCACAUAUGGCCUCUUUCUUCUUUCUCUUCACUUAGAUGGACCUUCCACACAUUGUACUUCUUGAUUUUGUGUCCAUCAAGCUCCUCUAAUGCUUUUUACGCGAUGCAUGCUAUCCAUGUUGUUAUCACUCCUAGCAUGGGAAGUCUUGCAGCACUUAGUAAUGAGGAGAGACCAUUGGCUAGAGAUGUUCAGAUGUUAGCUAAUAGUCUUGUCCGGUUGCAGAUCUCAGAGGAGAGUGAUGGGAUGAUUGCUUUUAUUGAGGCUCGGUCUUCUUUAGUUGAGCAAAUCUGUGCGCACCAGUUUGAUGAUGAGAAGUUAUGUCUCAUUCGAGACAGAGUAUUGAGAGGGGAAGCCAAGGAGGCUGUCCUUGAUUCUGACGGUGUCUUGAGGAUCGGAGGUAGGAUUUGUGUGCCCAAGACGGGCGAGUUGACUAGACUGAUUCUUGAAGAGGCCCAUUGUUCCCGAUAUUCUAUCCAUCCGGGAGCAGCGAAGAUGUAUCAUGAUCUGAGUCAGUAUUACUGGUGGUGUGAGAUGAAUAGAGAUAUUUCAGACUUUGUUUCUAGGUGUUUGACUUGCCAACAGGUCAAGUGUGAGCACCAGCGUCCCGGGGGUGUAUCUCAGAGGAUGCCUAUUCCUACUUGGAAGUGGGAGCGGAUCAAUAUGGACUUUGUUGUGGGUUUGCCUACCACAGUGGGUGGUUAUGACUCCAUUUGGGUUGUUGUUGACAGGCUGACCAAGUAUGCCCACUUCAUUCCGGUUCGGGUGAAAUAUACGAGAGAGAAGUUAGCUGAGCUAUAUAUCAAUCAGAUUAUGCGACUACAUGGGGUUCCUGUUUCUAUUAUAUCAGAUCGAGGUUCACUAUUUACUUCUCACUUCUGGAAAGCAUUACAAUAUGGUUUGGGUACUCAGUUAGAUAUGAGUACAGCCUUUCACCCUCAGAUAGAUGGUCAGUUUGAGCGGACGAUUCAGGUGUUGGAGGACAUGCUCCGAGCAUGUGUGAUCGAUUUUGGUGCUAGAUGGGAUCAACAUUUACCCUUAGCAGAGUUUGCCUACAAUAAUAGUUAUCACUCUAGUAUUCAGAUGGCCCCAUUUGAGGCGUUGUAUGGCAGACGAUGUAGGUCUCCGAUCGGUUGGUUUGAUUCGGUAGAGAUGGACUCUUUGGAUACUGAGUUGCUUAGAGAUGCUAUGGAGAAAGUCCGUAUGAUUCAAUAUAGAUUGUUGACAACCCAGAGUCGACAGAAGAGUUAUGCAGACCAGAGAGUUAGAGCCUUAGUGUUUAUGGAGGGCGAUCAUGUUUGGCUUAGAGUGUCACCUAUGAAGGGUGUGAUGCGGUUCGGCAAGAAGGGCAAACUUAGCCCUAGAUUCAUUGGACCUUUUGAGAUUUUGAGUCGAGUGGGAGAGGUGGCCUAUAAGUUGGCCUUGCCACCUAGUUUGUCGGCAGUUCAUUCUAUUUUCUAUGUCUCUAUACUUCAGAAGUAUAUUCCGGAUGAGUCACAUGUGUUUUCACUCGAUUCAGUGGAGUUGGGUCCAGACUUGACAUUUGAGGAGGAACCUAUAGCUAUAUUGGACAGGCAGGUUCGAAAGCUUAGGACCAAGAAGAUUGCUUCAGUGAAGGUGCAAUGGAAGCACCGAUCAGUGGGAGAGGCAACUUGGGAAACGGAGUCUGAUAUGCGUGCCAGAUAUCUUCAGCUUUUUGAAGCUUCAGGUACUUUCUUUCACCUUAUGUUCGAGGAUGAACAUGGUUUUUAGUGGUGGAUAAUGUGAUGACCCGGAAGGUCAUUUUUGAAAAUUUUGAACUAUUCGUUUAAAUUGAGUUAAUUAAUCUAUAGUUAGUGGGCUAAAGUGAUCAUUUAUUUAAGACACUAUACCAUUAAGGCUAUGUGUUAAAAAUAGGUUAGUGGAAGUUAUUAGUUUUAAUACAUAAUUAAUUUAGAAAAAAAUAAAAUAAAGAGGAGCAGAAAGAAAACUAACCUGCGGCGUGCGUUGAGCGAAGAACGAGAGUGCAGGUAUACUCAAUUCUGUGGAUAAAAAAUUCUGCUUUUUAAAUGCAUAGGAAAUCAAUAUAUAGAUAUUAUGUUAUUAAGUUGCAAUUCUUUCAAUUAAAUUAUCAUUACAAGUGGGUAUUGAAUGCAUUGGAUCUUUUGCAAUAUUGUUGGUUUUCAAAUUGAUGGGCAAAUAUUUAUGGGUUACUGUUGACAAAUUUUAGUGGAAGUAACCAAUAGUUAUUAUUAUUAUUAUAUUAGUAUAAUGAUUGUAUUAGAUUGAAGGGGGCAGUGGUGAAUUCUUGGCGGCUUAGAAAUUUAGGGGACAAGAAACGGUGCUAAUAUUAUUGUUAUUAUUAUUAUAUUUCUUUUUGUUUGUUGUCAAUUUAUGGGGAUGAAGGGAGUUGAAUAGUUAGGACUAUAUAUAUAUAUAUAUAAUUAUUUUCCAUACAUGCUAUCUCCAGUUUCAAGUAGUAAGUUGAAUGCUCACUAAAGGAGUUAGAUUAUUACUCUAUAUAUGUUAAGGCCUAAUUAAUUUUUGGGGAAAGAAUAAUGUCAUUGUUGUACACUUGGUGGGUUUUGAAAAUUGUGAGGAUAAAGUUAUGAUUACAUAUUAUAAAUUUAGGAACCUGCGGGCGACAUAUUAAUGUCUUGAUUUUAUCGAUUCCCACCACUGGUUUCAUAACCAGUGGUUUCGAAAAUUAGUAAUUCUUAUGUUAUUAUCACAUUGUAAUUUUAAUUUUGAUAUAUUAAAAUAGGUAAUUAAAUAUUAGGUAUAUCGUAUUUUUGUGAAUGUCAUUAGAUUUACGAUAAUUGAAGGAAUUGGAAGAAUUGACAAGUUAAUGGGCAUCAAGACUUGGGAACUUAAUUAUAAAUUUGGGGUAAGCUUAGUGUUGUUAGUUUCGGAAUCUUAUUGUGACUAUAUACUUGAAUAGAUUGCAUUGAUUUGGAAGCUCAACGAAAAGGGAAGGCUCAAGUCUCGGAGUGAUUGUUCGGUUAUUUGAGGCAAGUGGAUUUCUAAACCCUUGUUAAGCGUAUGGAAUUCGUGUCUUUCCUUGUGGUAUAUGUUUGGGAGUAAUGUGAUCAAUUGUUUGUAUGUGUUGAUAAUUGUUUGAAAGACUUGUUGAAUCAUUGUUGAAAUUGUAUCAUGAUUGUGUUGUUGUGAUUUGUGCAAUUGUUAUGAAAAUGGUCAUCUCCUCAUUAUUUGUGUGAACAUGUCAUUUGCACUGUUCUGAGACAUAGUUGUGAUAAGUGUUGUGUGCAUUGAGAAAUAAUAAGAAACUAAAGAGUAUGUACCAUUUCGAGGGAGUGUGCAUUGAGAAAGAAUAAGAAACUAAAGAGUAUGUACCAUUUCGAGGGACGUAUCGCGCGCCGCGAUGGAUGCAUGAACAGAUAUGUCCCCCAUGGGUCCCGGACUAAGAGACAGCGGGUGUGUAUUAUUAGGUCAGAUAUGCGUCACUAUACUUGACAUUGCAUUUCAUUGCAUUGCACAUUUUUUAUUAUUGAUGAACUUGAUCUUGUGUGUUGCUGAUCUUGUGAGUGCCUUUCUGUGAAACUUGUUAUUGAUGAAUAUUGAGUUGUUAUUGAGAAUAUAUAAUCUGUUAGAGUGUUGUUGUUGAGCUGUAUGCUUUGUAAACUGUGAAUUGUUAGGUUGGGCUGGUUUUAUGUAGGUUGUAGUUAUGGAGGUUAGGAUGGGGUGUAAGGAGUACCCGUAUUCUGUUCCCUUAGCUUGUGUUUAGAGGUUUGCUUGUUGAGUACCAUGUGGUUUGGUACUCACCCCUUGCUUCUACAAUCUUUUGUAGGUUACGAGCCCGGAUCUUCGUGAUACCUUCCAUUCUCUUCGUUUCCGAGGUUUUCCGUGGAGAUCUGAAAGGUAGCUAUUUGUCAUCUCAGCGAACCUUCUUACUCCUGUUUAUGGUUUUGUUUUUACUUGAAAGACAACGUCAUUUGAGAGUUGCGUAUUUUUAUUUCAAUUAUAGUAUUUACAUUAGAGGUUUGUGCCCGUGACAAUCAGGUUUUGGGGAUUGAAUUAAGUUGACUUGUUUUCGUAAUAGUAAUUGUUAUUGAACUUUGCUUUAUUUCCGCAAUUUAUUGAAAUGAUUGGGUUUUAGCCUGACUUGUCUUGGUGGGAUACGAUGGUGCCAUCACAUUCAUUUUUGGGUCGUGACACAAUAAGUCUUCAUCAUCAGUUCAGCCUCAUUCUUAGGACAAUAGCUCGCUAAUAAAUAUAAGGAAUAUGAAACUCUACGGAAAAUAACUUUAACUGUCAAGUAUACUUCAAAUAGUACAAACACUAUAAUAAUAUGAUACUGUCAAGAAAUAAGAUGAGCUGACAUCCCAAUGCCCUUUAGAGAGGGUCUUCCUAGUAAUAGAAUAGUAAAAAUGACUUAUUCGAUACAAUUCUUUUUUAGAAUCCGUGUGAUAUGAAAAAAAGAGAAUUUUGCCUUAAUUACUACAGCCCACUUACUUUCUUUUUAGUCUAGGGAGGUAAUUGGUCCUUAUGAAAGUUUAGUAUCGCAACAGCAAAUUCGACCAAAGUUGGGGUAUUUUUCCGACCCUUAUCCCUUAAGUGACCAACACGUAGCCAAAAUACAAUAUUCACUAAUAAAUUUAUCUCAUUGCGUAAAUGCUUGAGCAUGACGUAGAACUUUUUUUAAUAUAUCACAAUCUAUAGAAAAUUAUUUUGAAUAAAAUUUACCUCAAAUAAUAAAAAUUUAUUAACAUAAAAAGACUCACUAUUUCUGUUAAGAUAUUACUAAUUGAUAAAACUCGCAUAAAAAUAAAUAUAUAUACAAACGUAUUGUAGCUAAGAAUUUUUCCAUAAAUAAACAUUAUAAAAUUACCACUUAAUGGAAAAUAUUCCUCCACGAAGGAAACUUUGCUUUACUUAUCAAUUUGAAGUAGACACAUAGCAUGUAAUGUAUGAAUAAAUAUGUCAUUUAAAUUUAUAUAUUAAGCACAAAAGGGAACGUAAUCCUACAAAAUACGAACAUGUGAGUUUGGUAAAGAUAUAUUUUUGUGUGAUAGGCAAGAUACUCCAACCCUCAACAUGUAAUGCUUAAACUACAAAGAUAGUCAAUACAUGAACAUAGCUUCAAACACAAAUACUUAUAUUACACAAUCUAUCAAUCAUGUAUUAUACGUGCAAUUUAAAAUAGAUGAUAUAAUAUUAUGAGUUUUGAUAAACCUAUAUUAUUUUGAUGUAUGAACUAUAAAAUUUGUGUCAUAUAAAUAAAUAUUUCGUAAGGUGGGUAACAUGCGAGAAAUUUGCUAUGAUGACUUUAAAAUACACUAUUAGUUGAUAAGACAUGCUUACUUGUAUGCUCAAUAUCUUUUCUAUAUUUUACCAAUUUGAAACUUCUUAUCCUAAACUAAGAUGUCAUAUAAUAUUUGGACAACUCAACAUUCGAAUGUAUUUUAAUACAUAUAUGUAUAAAAGUUAAAGUUAGAAUAAAAUUGGCAAAUAGUAUGUAAAAACAAUUAUGUACUAGGUGGGAAAAUCCUUGGGCCAUGCUCAAAGUAAAAGGAUACAAUAUCUUUGGCAGCACAAAAGGGACGAUUCUUUUCAUUUGGAGCAGUGAUCAUAGUGGCUAAUAUUCCACCUGUACUUGUUCCAGCACUCACAUCAAAGUAAUCUACAACUCUUGCAUCUUUACCAUCCAAUUCCUGACUCAAAAAUAAUCUUUUUUAGGAUGAUCGCUGUAACAUCUCUUUUGACAUGUAAUAAAGUCUAACAAUAAAUAUAACAUGGAAAAUAAUUAUUGUUCCUUAAACAACAUGAUUUAGAGUUAAAAGAGAAUUUUUAUGAAGGAAGCGAGAUAACCUUCCACUCGAACAAUUUUUUAGAUAUAGAUCGAAUUGUGGACAUACGAGAUCCUUAUAAUAUAAAUUUGUUGUCUGAUUUAUCAUCAUAAAAGAUUUUUAAUUAUUAGUUUUGAUAUGUCAUUUUGUUACUUCGAUCUCAACAUGAUAAUCAUCAAAAUAAUACAAUUCAAAUGUAAAAAAUAUAUAGUAAUGCCACACCCACACAUACCUUUUACAAAAAAAAUAUAGGUACAUUACGUCGAUACCUGAAGUCACGGGCGGAUUUACGUUGAACCAAGGGGGUUCAUCCGAACUUUCAUCGUCAAAAAAUUACACUAUAUAUAUACAAUUAAUUUUUUAAUUUAUGUGUAUAUAUAUAAUAUUGAACCCCCUGAACAUACACCAAAGGCGUAGCUCUGUGGUGAUGUGGGUUCAAGAAUUUGCGCUGCUGCACGCGAGGUCGCGUGUUCAAAUUCGAACAGAGGCAAAUUUUUAUCAGCUUAUAUUUUAGGCGUUUUAAUUGUUUUUUUAAAAUAAUUAUAAUGGAAUCCGAAAACGACUUUAGUUCCAAAAAAUUAAAACCCUGAUAGGGAAUUUAGGAUUUUUUAGUUUAAUCCCUAAUUAUAAAGUCAAAUAUUAAAAAAUCAUUUUCUUCUUUUAGGAUUUUUUCACGUUUUAUUUUUUCAUCUCUCUUCUUCCUUGUUGGGCGCUAGUUAUUGCUUGUCGCUGCUGGCUGCUACUUGUCGUUGCUGCUUGCUGCUUCUGUUGGAUUGGUCAUUAUUGAAAACUUGAAGUCUAUAUUCGCAAUCAUUUCUUUCAUCUCCAUUAAUUACUACUUCGGUAAGUUUUUGGUUCCCUUUUUUCUUACUAGAUUUCAAUAUAUCUUAUUUCGUUAUUUAUUGAUGUGCUUUCUUGUAGUUGGCUGAAUUAUUGAUAUCAUUGAAGUUUCAAUUUUUUUGUUUGGUUAAUUUAAUAUAUUUUCUUAAUCUAAGAUUGGAGAGAUAGAGAAAUAUAAUUUAAUAAUCAAAUAACCAUUGCUUAAGCUUUUUGGUUUUGGUCCUUAUUGUAUGUAUGCUUUUUAUUAUUAGUUCUUAUUGUGUGUUUAAUUCUCUUAAAUUCUAACUAAACUUUUACUUUACAAUCCAGUCUUAAUAUUCAAUGAAGAAGUAUUUUACCCCAAUAGCGAAAUCUAGUUUAGCCUCUCAUAGUCAUAGUCAAUCUAACCAAGAAGAAAAUGUCAAUCAUUCAGAAGUACCAUCAUUCUUCUCAAGAAUUUAAUUUGAGUACUUUAAAGUUUGAUCCCGGUGAAAGAACUCCAAUAUUGAAUUAUCAUCCAAAUCAUCGUGAUGUUAUUAGAAGGGCAUACCUUGUGAAUGGUCCUUGUCAACCUAGCUUGGAGGUGCAUGAGUACCCUCAAACAAAUAUUUCUGGAGGAAUGCGUCGUUUUAAUCAUGAAUGGUUUGAUGAUGUAUAUCAUGAUUGGUUGGAGUACAGUGUUAGUAAAGAUGCAGCCUAUUAUUUGUAUUGAUAUCUAUUUAAAGGUCAUAGUAUUAAUCAAGGUGGAGGUGAAGUAUUUUCAUGUACAAGAUUUAAGAAUUUGAAUAAAAAGAGUGGUCUUGACAAGCAUAUUGGUCUGCAGAAUUGCCCACAUAAUCGAUCAAAAAAGAAAUGUCAGGAUUUACUACGACAACAACAGUCGAUUCAAUCUGCAUUUGAGAGACAAUCUAAUCAAAUUAAAUAUGGAUAUUAUAUCCGCUUAAGUGCUUCAGUUGAUGUAGUAUGACUUCUCAUAACUCAAGGACUCGCAUUUCGAGGUCAUGAUGAAUCUAAAUCAUCACUUAGUAGGGGUAAUUUUCUUCAGAUUCUCUCAUGGUAUGCAAAAAGAUGUGAUAAAAUUCGUGAUUAUGUACUUGAACAUGCCCCUCAAAUUGAUCAAAUGACUUCUCCAUUUCUCCAAUAAUUUAAAAAGAUAUUGCGACUGUAUGCAAGAUAGAAACAAUUAAAGCUAUUCUCGAGGAACUAAAUGGUGACUACUUUGCCUUACUAGUUGAUGAAUCUUUUGAUAUUUCACACAAGGAUCAAAUGGCUAUUGUAUUACGAUAUGUUGAUAGAAUGGAAUUUGUGAUGGUGCGACUUAUUGACAUUAUUCAUAUUUAAGAUACUAGUGCAUUAUCCCUGAAAGAGACAAUUAUUAAUUUACUUGCUCAACAUUCUUUGAGUCCAUCACGUGUGCGUGGACAAUGUUACGAUGGGGCAAGCAAUACGCAAAGUGAGGUCAAUGGACUUAAAAUGUUGAUUAGGCAAGAAAGUAGAUUGGCUCAUUCUAUACAUUGUUUUGCUCAUCAACUUCAACUAGCUCUUGUUGGGGUCUCUAAAAAGUGUGUUGAAGUGGGAAAACUUGUAGUUUGGUCUCAAAUAUUUUUAAUGUAUUGGGAUCUUCUUUUAAGCGUAUGGAUAAUUUACGAGAUUCUCAAAAAAGCAGCAAUUCAAGAUGCAGUAGAUAUGGGUGAACUGACAAUCGGUAGGGCUUGAAUCAACAACUUGGCUUUCAAGAGCUUGUGAUACCCGUUGGGGAUCUCAUUAUAAAUCCUUUAACAAUUUUAUUCUUAUGUUUGGCUCUAUUGUUGAAGUUCUUGAAUCACUUGCUCUUGAUACACGAAAUAUGGAUGAAAGAGCCAAGGCAAUGGGACAUCUUGAAUCUUGUCGAACAUUUGAGGUUGUGUGCAUUUGAUGAGAGAUGUAUUAGCAAUCACAAAUGAGCUCAAUAAAUGCUUACAAAGAAAGGAGCAAGAUGUUGCAAAUGCCAUGCUACUUGUUGAAGUAGCAAAGAAAAGCUUGCAAGUUUUAAGGGAUGAUAAAUGGAAUUCUCUUAUUGCUAAGGUAUCUAUAUUUGUACCAAACAUGAAAUUUUGAUACCUAACUUUGAGGAGCCAUAUGUUAGCUCUUUAAGAUCACGACGAAGACUUGCUCACAAUACAGUCUUCAUCAUUACCGUGUUGAAGUGUUUGCAAUAUUAUUGAUUGGCAACUUCAAGAGCUUAAUGAUCGUUUUAAUGAGGUAGCUACUGAUUUGCUCCAUGGAAUUGCUUGUUUGAAUCCAAUUAACUCAUUUUCAAGUUUUGACAGCAACAAAAUAAUGAGGUUGGCUGAAUUAUAUCCAGAUAAUUUUGAUGAAUUUAAUAUAGAUACUCUUGAAAAUCAACUUGCAAGUUACAUUGUUGAUGUUUGUGAUGUUGAUGAAAAGUUCUCUGAUCUAAAUGAACUUUGUGAUCUUUCCAAAAGAUUAGUCCAAACAAAAAAACAUUCAAAUUAUCCUCUGGUGUUCCGCUUAGUGAAACUUGCUCUACUUCUACCAGUUGCCAUUGCAUCCGUUGAAAGAGCUUUCUUGGCAAUAAAGUUUAUCAAGAAUGACCUGCGAAGUCAAAUGAGUGAUGUUUUUUUAGUGGUUGUUUGGUGUCUUUUGUAGAAAAAGAUGUAUUUGAUAGUAUUCCUAAUGAUGAUAUUAUUAAGACAUUUCAAGAUAUGAAACCUCGUAGAGUACAAUUGUAAUGAUCUAUUUAAGUUUUUAGAUAUAUGUGCUCUAAAUUAUUAUUUUUUAUUUGACCCAUUUAUAUCCGAUUCGAUCCAUUUAUUUGUGAAUAUUAUUUACGCGAUUAAUUUUUUCUUGAACUCCUUGAUGAAAAUCCUCCCUCCGUCACUGCUUGAAGUUGGUCUUCAAGAAAAGCAAGAAUAGUAGCUAGAAUAAUUCCUCUUAUGCCUCCUCCAUCAACACUAAGAAUUGUCACCAUUUCUCCCUAUCACAUGAGAUGUUGCUACAAAAAAAAGUAUAAUGAAAAAUGAUCUUCUAGUUGCCGUUGUUAGACUAUCUUUUUGGGAGUACAAAAGCAUCGACUAACAAGUGAGGAUUUAUAUAAUCACAUGAAAAGUCUUGGUUCAAGUCCAGGAUGAUCAUUUACUCUUUGUAAUCAGAUUUGUUAGCAAAGUAAUCUCACAAUUAUUAUAUUUGUAAGCCGAGUCAGACCCAUGUAGGGUCAAAGAGAUUCAAAUGAAUCCAUAUGAUCGAAAUAUUUUAUAGGUUAAAUUUGAUAAAUUAAAAUUAAUCGUAUCAUGUCAAAUGAACUAAUGUGAUCCUAUGGUGUGAUGAUCUAGUAGGUUCAAAAAAUUGUUGUGAUAUGAUUUUUGAAACGCCUAUGCAAUAUUAAUUCUUAAAUAUUUUUACUUAAAUUUUUGUUUUGUGUAACCAUAUAUUUUAUUACAAAUGUGUGCACAUUUGGUCAAUUUUAUGGUUAUACCUUGUUACUUUCUGUCUAUGGAUUAAUUUUCUCUUUUUUUUUUUACUCUUGUUUUUUUUUCUAUCAGAGGGCGUUUGACUAAGAGUUAAUUUGGAUUGAUUUAUUUUAAAUGCUAAAAUAAUUCUAGAGUAUUUUUGUAGUGUUUGAAUAAAAUAUAAAAGUUUUUUUAAAACAAUUGUUUUAAACUCAAAAAGACAAAAAUUGUCAAAAAAUCAUAAGUUAGAAUUUUUAUCUAUGACUUUUAAGUCAAACAGAUAAAAAUUAAGUCAAAAGCUAUAAAUAGAAUUUCUAACUUAUUACUUUUGACCUAUAAGUCAUAAUCACAAUCUCAUGCAAACAAAUUCUAAUCAUAUAAGUUGGUAAAAUUAACUUUUAAAAGAUGUUUGACUAAGUGUAUUAGCUGGUCAAAGUGUUGAACAAGUUUAUUUUUAAAAAAAUGAGGUGUUUGGCUGUAAUGACCCGUUAGGUCAUUUUGAAAAUUAGUCAUCGCUCUUUCAUAAAAGAUCCUUUUUGUAAAUUUUUAAUGAGAAUUUUGAAUUACUCUUUUAACUAUGGUUAUUUUAUUGAUAAGAAUUCUUUAAUAAUUAAUAUAAUUAGUAAUUAAUGGACCAAGAAUAUAAUUUUAUUAACGGAAAAUUACGCGGUUAAGCAAACUUAUACUACUUAUUUACUCAUCAUAGCUAUAGUUUGCUAUAAUUACCACUCACGACUAACAUUAUACAUUAAUUACGCGGGCUGACUUCGAGUUUGUUUUUACUAGUCAUGUUUGUAUAUGUAUAAUUCGUCAGAAUACACAAAUACAUAUGUAUAAUAUACAAUUAUCUAACCUAUAUACAUAUACAAUUCACCUCUCGCCCACUCUCUGCCCUCUCUCGCUCGCCUCUCUCCUCCCUCUCCCAAUCUCGCUCGCCUCUCUCCUCCAUCUCCCAAUCUCCCAAUCCGAGCUGACUUCGAAUUUGUAUAAUUACUCCGUAUAAGAGCGUUUGUACUGCCAACGUUGUUUCAAUUCAUAUAAACAAGAUGAAUAGGCAGAGAAAGUUCACUCAAAAGUAGCGAGAACAAAAAAUAAGAGUAUUCCAUCAGAAAAAUCUGCAAGUUUUUCAAAGGAUGAAACGAUAAUUAUAGUUCAACAACUGAAAAUGCAAUUUCGCGGCACCAGAAGAGGCCGGGGAUCUCGAAACCAUAGACAGCCGAUCAGAUCCAGAUUUGGGUUUGCAACUUCUCAAUAUAUACUUGCUCCUCAAAAACACAAUUUCGUCUCAAUUACCUCUUCCAAAUUUCUCAGAGGCUUGUUCCAUGCUUUACGAAUACGAAAAAACAACAUCAACUCCACCUCGCUGGAGAAAGUAGCUAGUAAUACUUGUAAGAGUACUGUGGAGAUGAUCCAUGAUAUAGCAAGUACAGUAACAAAUGUAGCUUCAAUAGCACGCGAAUUUUGGAAUGCGAUUGGACCCUAGCUUAUGAUAGAAGCAGAGGCAUAAUUCGGCGCCACAGGAAGCCAUUCUCGCUCCAGGUAAAACAAGAAUUCGCCUAACUAAUCUUCAUCUCUAAUUCGUAUGUACUAGUUUUAGGAGUAAGAGUUUAAUUAAUUAUUAAAUUGAUAGGUUGGAAGAGUUGAAUAUUUACAGAAUGUUGGAGAUAUUGUAAUGUAAAUUAUUUUUGAUUGGGUGUAUUUAUUUAUGGCAGUGGAUUGAUGUUUCAUGAUGAGUAAUGAUGAGGAAAUUAAUGAUGAGAUAGUAAUGAGUGGAAUAGAAAAGUUGUAGCUAGCUUAGGUUCUGCGUAUUAUCUUCCGUAACAGGUUGGUUUCUAUGUUUAUUUUUGGUUAGCAUAUUGUGAUCAAGAUUUUAAUAUAUUGAGAUACCUAAUUACAUAUUAGGUGUAUUGUAGUAUGUGGAUACCAUUAAAAUUAUGCUAUUUGAGGGAAUCAAAACUUAACCCUAGACUUGAAAGUUGGAAAGUAUGAUAGUUGAAAUGUUAAUUGACAUCAAGAUUUACGAACUUGAUUAUAAAUUUGGGUGAAUUUUGGUUCAAGGCUAAACACAUAAUAAUGUGGGUGUUGUUAGUUUCAAAAUCUUAUCGUGGUAAUUUGUUUGGAUAGAUUGUAUUGAUUUGGAGCCCAACGAAAGGGAAAGGCUCAAGUCCCGGAGUGAUUGUUCGACUAUUUAAGGCAAGUGCAUUCCUAAACCCUUGUUAAGUGUAUGGAAUUCGUGUAUUUCCUUGUGAUAUGUGUUUGGGGGUAAUGAGACUUGGUGAUGUGUUGACUUGUACACAUUGAUUAUUUUCUAAUGAUGAAAAAAGGGUAAUAAAAGGCAAUGUGUUUAAUUGUUGAUGUGUGAUGUUUGAGACUGGGUUGAAAGGCUUGUUGAAUCAUUGUUGAUGUUGUAUCACGAUUGUAUUGUUGUGAAUUGUGUAUUGUUAUGAAAAUGGUCAUCUCCUCAUUAUAUGUGUGAACAUAUCAUUUGCAUUGUUCUGAGACAUUAUUGUGACAAGUGUUAUGUGAAUUGAGAAAGUAUAAGAAAUUAAAGAGGAUGUACCAUUUUGAGGGACGUAUCGUGCGCCGCGAAGGAUAUUAUAUUUUGAGGGACGUAUCGCGCGCCGCGAUGGAUACUAUAUUUCGAGGGACGUAUCGCGCGCCGCGAUGGAUACUAUAUUUCGAGGGACGUAUCGCGCGCCGCGAUGGAUACUAUAUUUCGAGGGACGUAUCGCGCGCCGCGAUGGAUACUAUAUUUCGAGGGACGUAUCGCGCGCCGCGAUGGAUACUAUAUUUCGAGGGACGUAUCGCGCGCCGCGAUGGUUAUUAUUAUCGAGGGUCGUAUCGCGCGCCGCGAUGGAUGCAUGGACAGAUAUGUCCCCCAUGGGUCCCGGACUGAGAGACAGCGGGUGUGUAUCACUAGGUCAGACAUGCAUCACUAUACUUGACAUUGUAUUCCAUUGCAUUGGCAUAUUUAUCAUAUAGGGAACUUGAUAUUGUGUUUUGCUGAUCUUGUGAGUGCCUUUCUCUGGAACUUUGAUUGGUGAAUAUUGAGCUUGUUGUUGAGGAUAUGUAAUUGUUAGAGUGUUGUUGUUGAGCUGUGCCCUAUGUGAAUUAUGAACUGUUAGGUUGGGCUGGCUUUAUGCAGGUUGUAGUUGUGGAAGUUCGAUUUGGGUGUAAGGUGUACCCGUAUUUUAUCCCCUUAGCUUGUGUUUAGAGGUUUACUUGCUGAGUACCACAUGGUUUGGUACUCACCCCUUGCUACUACAUUUUUUUUGUAGGUCACUAGCCCGGACCUUUGUGGUAUAUUCUCUUCUUUUCUGAGGCUUCUUGGAGAUUUGUGAGGUAGUUGUUUUUCAAUUCAACAGACCUUUUUACUCUUGUUUAUGAUCUUGUUCUACUCUAGAAACAAUGUCCUAUGAGACUUGUGUUUUUCUUUUGAAUCAGUUGUAAUACUUUAGGGGCUUGUACACGUGACAAUCAAAUUUUGGGGGUAUUUUUUGAGUUAAUUAUGAAAUUUCCGCAUUUUAUUGUAAUGGGUGAGUGUUAGGCUGACUUGUCUUGGUGGGAUAAGACGAGUGUCAUCACAUCCAUUUUUGGGUCGUGACAUUGGCUAACUUUUUGAGAUAUUUUUUAUAGUACAUAGUUCUAGAAGCCGUUUUCAGAAGCUAAAAAACUGUAAAUUUUUCCUAAAAACACUUUUUUUUGCAAAACACUUAAAAGAAAAAUACUUUUAAAAGUACUUUUAAAAAAUUUGAUCAAAUAUAAUUGUUGCUAAAAAGUUCAUUUUUAUUUAUGUGUUAUAAACAAACUAUUUCUCACCAACAAAUACUUUUUAAAAAAACACUUUCAAAAAAAAGACUUCUCACCAUAAGUUUAUUUUAGAAGUUAGCCAUACAUAUUAAGGAUGUCUGAUUAAUUGUUGGUACCCACUUGCAUAUAAGUUCACAUUAAUAUGAAGAAAUUAACAAGUAUUGAAUAAAAUUUCUUUUAUAAAAUAAAUCAAAAUGCUAGUCGUCAAUUUUUUAUUCUUUAUCUUCACUUAUUCAUUUUCAUCAUUCUCUUAUUCUUUUCGUGUAUUUAACUUCAAUUACAUUAUAUUGUUAAUUUACCUUGAUAUCUGAUGGAUCAAAUCACUUGCCUCAAAGUAGUACUAUUUUUUUUCUCAUUCAUUUAGGAUAUCUAAAGUUGAAGAAUCUCUUAUAUCAUAUCAUAAUUAUUUGUAUAAUAUUAACUUGCCACUUCAAAUUAUAUUUUUUUUUUCUUUUUGCUUUGAAAAGAAGAUUCAAAUACCAUAGCAUAAAAUAACGACAAUUUAUUUAAAUAUUUAACACAACCAAAAGGUUACAUAAUCCAAGCACACAUUACAUAGAGAGACAUUUCUAUUGAAAUUUAUCCCUCAAACUCCUUUUAUUUUGAGGUUGAAAUACUUAAAUGCGUGCAAUCAUAAAUAUUGCAAGCGUUUAUUAUUUACUACUACAACCCGGGACCUUGAAUUAAUAAGAAGCUUUGUUUGCUCGGAGUUUCUUCCUAUCAGAGAGCAAUUUUGCAAAUCUACAACGAAAUAAACUAUUUUAAUUAGCAAUAAAAUACUAAUAUGAAUAAUAUUGACUGACGAGAUAUAGUAAUAUGAAAAAAAAAAAAAAGAAUUAUUUCAAGCACCGAUAGUUUUACCUCUUUAGAGCUUCCUCAUAGGUUUUCAGGACUGUCUUUGGAAACUGGUUUCUUCAAUAAUGUUUCACCAACUUGUACUAAUAAAUCCAUAUUAGCCUCAGACGCAUCAUCCAUUUCAGUAGUUGUGCCUGUUAAUGCAUUUUCCUGGAAUUAAAUAUACAUAAUUUAGACAUACUUCACUAUCAUAUAUGACAUGCAUAUUAUAAAAUAAUAAUAAUGAAGAAACUACAUAAUAAGACAUACUUCACUAUCAUAUGUACUUUUAAAAUUUUACGUAUCUUAUCAUUAAUUAAGAGUUUUCUACCAUAUAUUAAGAAAAAAUUACUUAGAUACAUGUAUUUUUGCUACCAAAUACACAAAUAUAGGGAGAAAGGCGAGUGAGAUUCGUAUGUAUCUGAUAAAAUAGGUAAUAUUGCAAACUAGCUAGUGAGAUUUAUGUAAGUUUAAUUUCCGAUAAGUUGGGACUUACUUGAACCCUGAGGUAAUUGUUUUGUGAAUGACGAGCUUGAAAAACAGUAGAAAUGUAAUAAUCAGUCAUGUAAGAACUUGCUGCAUUAGUCAUUUGCUGUAUAGCUAACAUCCAUCGUAGAGGACCCCAUUUAGCUGCCUCUUCUGCUGUAUAUGUUUUAUCAAACUCUGAAUUAGUGCCAGUGCCUAAUGAGAGCAACAACAUUUGCUUGUAAUCCAAUGACUUAAUUGAAGCAAAUUUUGGAUCCACUUGUGCAAGUUUCGUUGCAACGCUAAGGGAUAAUAACGCCUGCAUUACACGUACGUACAACAUUGAUUAGAUAUUUCGAAAAAACAUAUAAAAUUGAAUCGAAAAAAGUAGUAGUAUUAAUUAGUACCGGAUCACCAACAGUAGCAACACCACCAUCAACAAGAUUGAACUCAUAUAUAUCACCAUUACUAGUAUGAGUAGUAAAGUAAUGUGGAGGAAAAUAUAUUGGAGCUGCUGCUGUGGAAUAACAUAUGUCAUACAUCUUAGCAUCCAAUUCUGGAGCAUUUGCUAACUGCAUUUUAAAAAUAUACAUUUACCAAACGUACUAGAAAAUAAAUAAGAAAUUCACUAGUUUACAAAUCAUGACUAUAAUUAUUUCGACUUACAUUUGACUUAGUGAAUAUUACUGGCUUAUUUGUUUUGAUGUCAAAGCUUGAGAUGGCAACUUCUGUCAAAGCUUGAUGCACACGAGUUUCUCCAAGUUUUUCUUGAAGAACUUGCAUAAGAUAUUUUCCAUCAUAUUUUGGGCCAAAAAUUGAACCACUGCAUAAUAUAAUGUAACCAAAUUAAAUAUAAGUAUAAAGAACAAAAAUCUCAUAUAUUUGGGGUUAAUUAUAUCUUACCUCAGAAGUUUACUCAAUUACGUACAAAAAUACUAAAUAUUUCAUUGCUCUCGGAUAUAUUCCUUGGCUGUCCGAUACAUUGCAAAUGAUGCAUUACUUAAUGGGAGGGAUGUAUCUGAAAGGGGAUAGAGAUGUAACUUAGAAGAGAUUUUUGUAAUUUUUUUAAUGGUAGGAAAUUUUAGAGAAUAUAAUAUCUUAAGUUGUGUAUUUAUGUAAUUUUUUGUAAAUAUAAUUCAUUACUCAAAACAUAUUCUCCUUCUUUCUUUCGAGUUGUUUGACCUAUUUUUUUAGUCCAUCUAAGAACAAUGUACUCCAUCUGUCCCAUUUUAUGUGGCACUUUUCGGAUUUCGAGAUUCAAACAAGUUUAUCUUUGAUCGUAAAUUUUUUAUAGAUUUUUUAAACAUUCUGAAUUAUCAAUUAUUGUGACUUGUAGUACUUUUUACGUAAUUUUACAAGUAUAUAAAUUUCAUUUCAACAAAUUUGCAGAUUUCAUGCGCAAAUUCUAGGUCAAACUUAAACUGUUUUGACUCUCGAAAAACAAAAAGUGCCACAUAAAUUGGAACAAAGAGAGUAAGUGAUUGUUUUUACUUUAUAGUGACUCUUUGAUUUCAACUUUCAACUAGACAUGUUUAAGACCACAAUAUUAAAUAUUGAUACGUUUGACAUAUCUUCAUCAAUUUAAUAUCUGAAGACUCAAAAAUCUUUUUUCACUCUCUUAAACUCCGUAUCAAAUUAAAAUUAGACAAAUAAAUUAAAACAGAGGAAUAUAAAUAUGUAUAUGUACCUAUUAUUAAAAAUAUGAGGGCCAUGUUCGAAGUAAAAAGGUACAAUAUCCUUGGCAGCAGCAAAGGGUCGAUUGUUUUCAUUUGGAGUAGUUAUUAUAGCAGUCAAUAAACCUCCUGUACUUGUUCCUCCAAUUACAUCAAAGUAAUCUGCAAGUCUUGCAUCUUUAUUAUUGUCCACUUUCUGACUCGAAAAGAAAAGUAAGUCGUAUAAAUAACAACUCACUUAUCAAUCAGAUAGUACAUUUAUAUAUUAAGAAAAAAUUACUACAAAAGUUGUAACAUAAGAAAACCAUGAUUUAUUUGAAUAAUAAUUACCCUAUCGAUAAUAGAAGUACUAUUACUAAUCAUUAUCACUAAUAAGCAUCGAAAAAAUACAAUUCAAGAGUAAAAAAAGAAAAAAACGAUUGUAAUGUCACACUUACAUACAUACACGAAAAAAUAUUUUUACGAUACCUGAAGUUGUCCUUCAAGAAAACCAAGAAUGGUACCUAGAAUGACUAUAUAGUAGUGUCACACUUACGUACAUACAUUACAAAAUAUUUUUACGAUACCUGAAGUUGUCCUUCAAGAAAUUCGAGAAUGGUAGCCGGAAUGAUUCCCUUAAUUCAACCUCCAUCAAUACUAAGAACAGUCACCAUUUCUCCCAACGUAGCAAAUGUUGAACUAGUAGUUGCUAAUAUCAUAAAAAUUAAAAUUAAAAAAGAUUUAGUAGUUGCCACUUUGCAGAUUAUAAUUAAUAAAAACUAAUAUCUCAAAGUGUUUUUAAAUUUUGUUGAUGCUUUGAGCAUAUAACAAGCGUGGUAUAUAUAGGCACGUAAACAAGUUGAGAAAUUUUAUUUUGAGUUUGACAUAACCAAUAAAAGUUAGUGAUGUCUAUUAGUGAUGUUUAUUACCUCACUCACUUUGCACCGCAACUGUCGUUAGUGAUGUUUACCUUUCCUUUUUCUAUUCUUUAUUAGUAUUAUAUAAUAUAUAUGUGUGAUGAGACUUGAAAUUGUUUAGCACCGCAAAUGUCCUUGUUGAGGGGAGGUUUUCUUUUGCUGAAGUUGGGGUGGUUGGGGUGUCACAUACACCCCUCUAUGGACUCAACGUCCUUGAUGAGGUUCAUUUCACACUGCAUGAGAUUUUUCUAGACUCUACACUAUGAUUUUUCUCACCUUAUCAAAAUUGCUUAAACUCAGUUGAAGUCAGGGCCAUAUCGACAAAACUGACACAUGAUAGACUCUGAUAUUAAACAGAUUCUCUCCCUCGUACCUCACUCACUUUCCUUUUUCUAUUCUUUAUUAGUAUUAAAUAAUAGAUCCAUUCCAACCAUUUACGUACAUAAGAAGAGAGAUAUUUUUUUAAUGGACUAACAUGACAAAUAAAACAAACAAAGGAGUAAUGAUCGAUGAUAAAAAUAAAAGUGGCAAUGACCCAGAUAUAUAUAUCGAUCGAUUAUCAUAUGACAAUAAAAUUAUGGACAGAGAUAUGGAGAAAUUGGAAAUAAAGUCAAAAUCGUCGUUGGCCAAGGACUUAGAAACCUUGUAAAUUGUAAUUUAACCCUCCCACACCUAACACUAUUAUUUCCACAUAUAUAUUUGGUGCCCCAUGGAGUUACUUCCAUUUCCACGUUUUGGGUACGUCUCCAUCACACUAGAGUGUGAUUUCGGCUUCUUGUGCAUGCGCUAAAUGUUGUUUGAUAGUUGAAUUAGAAGUGAGUUAUACAUGUAUUAUAUUCUGCAUAAAUAAUAACACGUUUGAUAAUUGGUUAGGAGUUAGUUUUUCAUAAAUAAAACUAAUAAAAUAAAUAAUUGAUCCCUACCUAAAAUAAUACACAAGUUCUCUCAUUACUAAUACUUGCAUACUCUAACCUGCAAAGUGUGGUAGGACUCACCCAGGUAAGUGUCACGAUGGCUCCACAAGUUGUUUCAAGUGUGGACAAGAGGGUCACUUCAUGAAAGAGUGCCCUAAGAACCGGCAAGGUAAUGGGAAUCAGGGCAAUAGGGCCCAAUCUUUAUCAGUUGCUCCACCAGACAGGGCUGCACCUAGAGGAGCUACUUUCGGUAUUGGCGGAGGACAAAACCGCCUUUAUACGAUCACUAGUCGUCAAGAGCAAGAGAAUUCUCCAGAUGUUGUCACUGGUAUGAUUAAAGUCUUUACUUUUGAUGUUUAUGCUUUGCUAGACCCAGGAGCAAGUUUAUCUUUUGUGACUCCUUAUGUUGCAAUGAAUUUUGAUGUCCUUCCUGAGAAACUUUGUGAACCCUUUUGUGUUUCUACAUCGGUUGGGUAGUCUAUUCCAUCUGAGAGAGUAUAUCGUGAUUGUGUCAUUUCCAUCAAUCACAAAGACACCAUAGCUGAUUUAAUUGAGUUAGACAUGGUAGACUUCGACGUCAUUCUAGGUAUGGACUAGCUUCAUGCUUGUUAAACCUCUAUUGAUUAGAGAUCUUGAGUUGUUAAGUUCCAACAGAUUUUGAUGUCAUUCUAGAAAUGGACUGGCUUCAUGCCUGUUAUGCCUCCAUUGAUCGUAGAACUCGAGUUGUUAGGUUCCAAAUUUCUAAUGAGGCAGUUAUAGAGUGGAGUAGCAAUUCAACAGUGCCUAAGGGUCAUUUCAUUUCGUACCUUAAGGCGAGAAAGUUAGUUUUCAAGGGGUGUGUCUAUCACUUAGUCCGAGUUAAUGAUUCUAGUGUUGAGACACCUCCUAUUGAGUCAGUUUCAGUUGUGAAUGAGUUUCCAGAAGUCUUUCUAGAUGAUCUACCCGGAGUCCCUCCUGAGAGAGAAAUAGACUUCAGUAUAGCUAUUCUUCCUGAUACUCGUCCUAUAUCUAUUUUGCCAUAUAGAAUAGCACCAGCAGAGUUGAAAGAGCUAAAAGAGCAGUCAGUGGUGGAUCUAUGAAGGGUUGUGGGGGUGCCACGCCACCCCCGAAUUUCGACGGAAACUCUAUAUAUACAUAGGUAUAUAUAUAAUAUUUAUAUAAAUAUAAAGCGUGCCACCCACAGAACAAAACUGGCUUGUGGUGCCACGGUAGGAGGGCAACUUUAGAAGGCUGAUGUUGCGGGUUCGUUUGAGAAAUUUGCUGCAUACGUUUUUAAGAAAAAAAAAGGCUCCAAGCACGUUUUUUUAAGGAAAAACAGCUGGCACAAUUUUUUUUAUAUUUUUUUAUAAUUGUUAUUGACUUAAAUUAAAUUAAUUACAUUAUUACUCCUUUGACUUUUCACUUGCUUAUUUUCUUGUAAUGUUGAUUUUGAUUUUACUUGCUGCUACUGCAACUGUGGAGAGAGCAUUUUUGUCAUUGAAGUACAUAAAAAAUGAAGUGCAGAAUAGUAUUGGUAAUCAAUAUUUAAAUGAUUGUCUAGUGUGUUACAUAGAGCGUGAUGUAUUUAUAAAUGUUAGUAAUGAUGUCAUUAUCGAUCGUUUUCAGAAUAUGAAAACUCGUCGAGGACAAUUGUAAAUGAAUGAUGAAUAUUUAUAAUAUUAGUAAUAUUAUUGAAAGUUUUAAACUUAUUUGUGAGAAAAAAGGAUGGUUCCCUUAGAAUAUGUAUAGAUUAUCGCCAGUUGAACAAUGUUACCAUCAAGAAUAAGUAUCCUCUUCCGAGAAUUGAUGAUCUUUUCGAUCAGCUUCANNNNNNNNNNNNNNNNNNNNNNNNNNNNNNNNNNNNNNNNNNNNNNNNNNNNNNNNNNNNNNNNNNNNNNNNNNNNNNNNNNNNNNNNNNNNNNNNNNNNNNNNNNNNNNNNNNNNNNNNNNNNNNNNNNNNNNNNNNNNNNNNNNNNNNNNNNNNNNNNNNNNNNNNNNNNNNNNNNNNNNNNNNNNNNNNNNNNNUGAAUAGAGUAUUCAAGCCUUAUUUAGAUAUGUUUGUUAUCGUGUUCAUUGAUGGCAUUCUAAUCUAUUCGAGGAAUGAGGAAGAUUAUGCUAGCCAUCUCAGAAUAGUUUUCCAAACUCUAAAGGAUAAGGAGUUAUAUGCUAAGUUCUCUAAAUGUGAGUUUUGGCUUAAGUCUGUGGCAUUCUUAGGCCAUAUUGUUUCCAGUGAUGGGAUUAGAGUUGAUUUCAAAGCUUGAGAUGGCAACUUUUGUCAAAGCUUGAUGCAAACGAGUUUCUCCAAAUUUUUCUUGAAGAACUUGCAUAAGAUAUUUUCCAUCAUAUAUUGGGCCUGAAUUUUGACCACUGCAUAAUAUAAUGUAACCAAAUGAAAUAUAAGUAUAUAGAACAGAAGUAUCAUAUAUUUGGGGCUAGUUACAUUCUAUCUUAGAAGUUUACCCAAUUAUGUACAAAAACACUGAAUAUUUCAUUGCUCUCGGAUAUAUUCCUUGGCUAUCUGAUACAUUUCAAAUGAUACAUUACUUAAUGGGAGAGAUGUAUCUGAGAGGGGAUAGAUAUGUAUUUGAGAAGAGAUUUUGGUAAUUUAUUUUUAAUGGUAGAGAACUUUAGAGAUUAUAAUAGGGCAAAAAACUUAAAUAUACAAUUUAAGUACCUUAAUUACUACUAUAUAGCAAUAAAAAAAAAUCGCCUAUAUAGCAAUAGUUUUUUUUUCAAAACUAGAAUUUAGUAUUAAAAAAAAAAAGGAAGCGUAGAAUUAGUCAGCCACGAUUUUCUUAUAAUCCCUGAUUUUCUCCAAUUCUUUUACCUUCCACGAUUCACUCAGAUUUAUAAUAUAUUCCCUCCCAUAAAAAAAGUUUUUUUUAACAAAAAUAAAAGUCUCUUUCUACUCCCUUCUGAUCGACAGUUCAAACAUACCAACAAUUUUUCAAUUCUAAUUCAACACAACGGACGAUGGGACGCAUCAGGUAUUUGUGAUAAAUCACAUUGAAUUAGUGUUUUUUUACGUGAUUAUUUUAAUUAUUUUAUUUAAUAUAUUUAAAUUUUUUUUCAUGAUCGUUAUCUUAUAAUCUACUAUGUUGGGUAUAUAUUUUUUGUUAAAUCUGAAUUAAGGUCGUUUAUCAAUCACAUUUAUAGAUUGGAUUUGGGUAUAUUGAGUGGUGUGUUAUUUUUUGGUAUUUAUUCGUUGCUUUAAUUUGUAGGGAUUUGUUGUUUAGUAUAAAAUUCAUAUUGCGUGAUUCUGCUUUGGUAAAUGGUUUGGUGAAACGAUGGUUUUGUGGUUUUGUAUAAAAUAAAUUUUAUUAAUAUUUUUAGUAGAUUAUUAGGUGUAAUUGAUAGUGUACAUGGUGUGAUGAUUUGGUGUAAUUGUUAUUCUGUAUUAUGUUUUUAUAAACACCAUAAGUCAUAGUUUUUUUUGGUGCGAGUGUUAUCUAUCAGGUCACAUAGAAAAAUAAGCUUUGAUGAUUAAUAUUGAGUAAAUAAUUUGGUGUUAAUGAUGGUAUAUUUAAAUACAUUUAUUAAACGUUGAAUUUAGUGAAUUUUUUUUGGUCUAACAUUAAGUGUAAUUGAUCAGUGCACUUGAAUAUCUUUUAGUCCAUAUAUAAAUAUCAUAUUUCGAGAAUUUCUUUUUGUAUGUGAUCUGGUGUAAUUAGUAUCUUUUAGGCCUUACAUAAACAUCAUAAUUCGAGAAUUUCUUUUGGUGUGUGAUCUGUGUAAUUGGUAUCUUUAAACCUUAUAUAAACACAAACUUUCAAGCUAAUAUUUUGGUACAUCUAUUGUUUAUUGGUAAAUGAUUUGAUGAAAAUGAUGGUGUAGUAAGCUAAUUUAGUCGUCAACCAUUUUGUAUACCAGCAUGAUUACCAUUUUGUAUACCAGCAUUAUUACCAUUUUGUAUACCAACAUGUUUGCCUUUUUGUAUACCAGCAUGUUUGCCUUGCAAAAGCACUUGGGAUAUUCCAUCGCAUAUUUUGGAAGAGGUAAUGUUAUCACUAAUUGGAAGAAAGCAAUCAGGCAGACCAUCAAAUAAUGAUCGUAAGAAGGAUUCAACGAAGGAAAAUGCAAGAGAAGUAUAGUCAUUUGUAGUAAAUGUGAUAUAUCCGGGCAUAACAGAAAGACUUGCCCCAAAUUUGUGGAUCACGCUUAACAAUAGUGUGUUGUUUUUAUUUUAGUUUUACUUAAAACAUUAUGUAGUUGAAACUUUUAGUUUUAUGUUGGUUAAAUGAAUCAUAUUAUUGGUUUAUUUAAUGAUAUAACAUUUCCGAUUGCUUGUUUUUGAACUUAAGUUGUCUUUUUAUGCACAAAUUUAUAUAUGUAAAUAGUUAUGAACUAAUUGUAAAUUUUAAUAAAUGAAAAGAACUGCAAUUUCUAUAAUAUUGAUGUAGUAUUCAAAAGUUAUUAUCUAUUAUACAUAUUGGUGUAAUUUUCGUUGUAAGGUUGGUACAUUCAUAGUAUAUUGAAAGAAGAACUAAAGGCAAAAUAUAACAAACCUAUUGAAAAGUGAUGGACUUAUGAGAUAAAAUAAUGGUGAAUCGAAAAUUAAUUUAAUUUAAUAUGCUAUGUAAUUAUUUUUUUGAAAAGCUCAGUAAUAACCAUUAAUUGGUGAGAUAAAAUAAUUUAAUUUAAUGCAUGAUUAUCAUCCCCCCAAAAAUAGGUACAAAAUCCCAAAAAAAGGAAAAACUAAACUAAAUAAAUAAUUAAAAUCGAAAAUUAAGAGAAAAGACUAGAAUUAAUAAAUAGUAUAAUUAUGGUUGAAAAGUCAAAAAGUAAACAAUAACUAUCAAUUUCAUAAAUUUAGCACACAACCUCCAAAAAUAGGAAAUAAAUUGGAUACUAAAAUAUACAAAAAAAAUCAAAAAUUCAUUAUAUGGGCAAAAAAAUAAAUAUAAAACAGUAUAAUUAUGAUUGAAAGUGCAAAAAGUAAACAAUAAUUAUCAAUACCAUAAGUUUAGCACAUAAUCCACAAAAAUAGGAAAUAAAUCGUAUACUAAAAUAUGUAUAAAAAAUGAAAAUUGAAGAUAUAGGUAAAAAAUAAUAAUAUAAAGAGUAAAAUUAUAGUUGGAAAACUUAAAGGUAAACAAUAAUUAUCAAUCCCAUAAUUUUAGCACAUAACCCCCCAAAAAAGGAAAUAAAUUAAAUAUUAAAAUAUUUUUUUAAAAAAAUCAAAAAUUAAAAUAUUAUGUCAUGUUUGUAAUUGAAAACUUAGUUUUGUAAAUAAAAAGGAGUAUAUACAUAUAUUGUUAAUUAAGAUCUUAAAUAGUAUAUUUUUGUAAUAUUUUCUUAUAUAUAAGUAUCUUAAGUUGUGUAUUUAGUCAAAACAUAUUCUUCUUUCUUUCGGUCCGUUUCGAGUUGUUUGACCUAUUCUUUUUUUUUUAGUCCAUCUAAGAAAAAUGUAUCUUUUUUACUUUUUAGCGACUUUUUGAUUUCAACUUUCCAACUUGACAUAUUUAAGGUCAUAAUAUUAAGAGAAAAAAACCUGAAAUAUAUUCGAACUUUGACAGAAAUUACUGUAACUAUACCAAAUUUUGGGUAGGACCUAUUACCCCCUGUACUUUUUAAUAGUGUAUUUUAAAGAUAUAUAAGUGUCCACGUGGACAAUUUACUAUUUAUAAUGAUGCAAUAUUGAUGAUGUCCACGUAGACACUUAUAUAUCUUUAAAAUACACUAUUAAAUAGUGUAGGGAGGUAAUAGGUCUUGCCUAAAGUUUGAGAUUGUUACAACAAUUUCGGUCAAAGUUCAGAUAUAUAUAUAUUUCAAAUCUUUUUCCCUAAUAUUAAAUGAUAUUUUGAUACGUUUGACAUAUCUUCAAUUUAAAACCAGAAGACUGAGAAAUCAUUUUUCACGUUCUUAAAUUCUAUAUCAAAUCAAAAUUAGAUAAACAAAUUAAAACUGAUGAAGUAUAAAUAUAUAUAAUGUACCUAUAAAUUCAAAAAUCAUAGGGCCAUGUUGGAAGUAAAAAGGUACAAUAUCUUUGGCAGCAACAAAUGGUCGAUUGUUUUCAUUUGGAGUAGUUAUCAUAGCAGUCAAUAAACCUCCUGUACUUGUUUCUCCAAUUACAUCAAAGUAAUCUGCAAGUCUUGCAUCUGUAUUAUUGUCAAAUUCCUGACGCAAAAAGAAAGCAAGUCAUAUAAAUUGAAACAAAAACAAUUCACUCACAGGGGUGGACCUACGUGGGUGGCGAGGGUUCACCCGUACCCCUCGACAAAAAAUUACAAGGUAGCUUUUCAACAUCUCUAUAUACAGGGGCGGAGCCAACAUACAUUCAAGGGUUCAUACGAACCCCCUUAGGUGGAAAAUAUUACUAUUUAUACAUGAUUAAUUUUUUAUUUUUUUAUGUAUAUAUAGUAGAUGUCGAAUCUUCUUCGAUUAGUUCGUGUGUUUACUUCUUUAGAUUUUGAACCGCCUUAUUAAAAAUCCUCACUCCACCACUGUUCACUUUCUCACACUAAAAAGUGAUAGUUUAGGUAUGAAACUCAAAAAAAGUGUAUAGUUUAUGUGUGUUUUUGACAUUUAUCUCUGUUGAGAUUUAUGCAGUUUUGAUGAUUGACAAAGAAAGACGAAACACGUCAGUCAAUAUGGUCCAAAAGGUGCACUGUCAUGAGUAGUUAAAUUCGAGAAAGCUUUUAGAAUGAACAAAGACAAGAGUGCAGAAAUAAAGGAAUGAAUAAUGUUAAUUUCGUGAGAAAACCCAAGGAAAUAAACACCUGAUGAAUUGAAGAGAAAGAAUCAAUGAGUUUGAUUUGAAGAAGGAGUCUAAAGAGGCAAGGAGUUUUAAUUGAAGAAGGAGCCUUACUUAAAGUAGAACUCUUCAAGUUACUGCUGGAUUGAAGUGUUGGAGUUUGACUACAAUAUAAAAGAAUUAAUGAAUGUAAUUUGAAGAAGGAGUCUAAAGAAGCAAGGAGUUUGAAUUGAAUAAUGAGUCUUACUUGAAGUAUAACUCUAAGUCAAGAGAGUUCAUGUCAAUGAGGAGUUUGGAGUAAACAAUAACUCUAUGAAGAAUUGUGCUUAAAUAGAGGCGAAGUCGUCCAGAAUACUUGUGCACUUAUAGAGCAAAAAGAGCAAUUGAGAAAUUGACUUCGCAAGUGCUACUAGCGAACUGAAGGAACACAUAGAAGGAACACAUUGAAGAACCUAAUCCUUCUACAGAGUUUAUGUGUUAGGAGUUUUUCUUUGUGAUUGAGUCUUGAUGUAAUCUUAGUUCAGUAAGUUAUAAAACUGAAUUAGAAGUGUUGUCUUUAGGUUGUGAUAACUCGAAGAGUUGGGAACAUAUACCUUGGGAGGUUUGUGUUGAAGGUUAGGAAUUAAAGUUAGUUCCUAGGAUUACAAGAGUUGUAAUCUAAAUCUAUAACUUGAAGUUAAGGUAGGUUGCAAAGUUUGUAAUCUAUCUUUUGUGGAGGCUCAGUGAUUUAGUGAAGUUGGAGUUAAAUCCUGUAGGGGUAGAUGUCGUGGUUUUUUACACCUUUUGAGCCGGGUGUUUUCCACGUAAAAAUAUUGUGUUUUUACGUACUGUCCUUACUGCUUUGUUGGAACACGUUAGACAACCUGUUUCACACUUAGGCGAAAAGUUAAAAUCAAUAAACAUAUGUGAAUUGUUCAUCUUAAAUAAGUUGUAUCAGGCUCAAUUUUUUUUUACUUUUUAUACAGAUCUUUUUUUAAAGCCAUCACCAAAUAGUUGUGGGUCAUAGUAUGGUGGGGUUUACACCAGAAGUUUACUCAAUUACGUACAAAAAUACUAAAUAUUUCAUUGCUCUCGAAUAUAUUCCUUGGAUAUCCAAUACAUUACAAAUGAUACAUUACUUAAUGGGAGAAAGUGCGGCUAUGCAGUGGAAGGGAAAGAGCCUAAAUCGACCCCCUUCUUUUUUUCUUUGAAAAAAGCAGUAAGGAGUAAGGAGAUUAAACUCCCUUCGUAGGGGUAGGAAAAAGAAAGAGAUUAGAUAAGUAUAGAGUAGAUUUAAAUCCAACCAGCAAGGCAUACGGUCUUGGACACUUAACCAGCUCUUGAUGAGCGGUAUCCACCUUCACCUUAUUCUGCUCUCCUUAGCCUCCGGCUUGGGCGUGGUGAAGCAAGGGUCAAUGAGAUCGACCCCGAUCAGUGCAGAUAGAUAGUUAGAGUUGGCAGUUUCUUCAAAAAUUCUAAAAAGAGAUGUAUCUGAGAAGAGAUUUUGGUAAAUUUUUUUAAUGGUAGGGAACUUUAGAGACUAUAAUAUCUUAAGUUGUGCAUUUACUCAAAACAUAUUCUUCUUCUUUCUUUCGAUCCGUUUCGAGUUGUUUGACCUUUUCUUUUUUUUAGUCCAUCUAAGAAAAAUGUAAUUUUUUCUACUUUUUAGCGACUCUUUGAUUUCAACUUUCCAACUUGACAUAUUUAAGGUCAUGAUAUCAAAUGAUAUUUUGAUACGUUUGACAUAUCUUCAAUUUAAAACCAGAAGAUUUAAAAAUCUUUUUUCACGCUCUUAAAUUUCGUAUCAAGUUAAAAUUAGACAAAUAAAUUAAAACAGAGGAAUAUUAAUAUGUAUAUGUACCUUGAAUUAAAAAUCUGAGGGCCAUGUUGGAAGUAAAAAGGUACAAUAUCUUUGGCAGCAGCAAAGGGUCGAUUGUUUUCAUUUGGAGUAGUUAUCAUAGCAGUCAAUAAACCUCCUGUACUUGUUCCUCCAAUUACAUCAAAGUAAUCUGCAAGUCUUGCAUCCUGUAUUAUUGUCCACUUCCUGA
rnacentral:lncRNA from 1 species